rnacentral:lncRNA from 1 species
UUGGAGGUUGAAGGGAAGGAGAUGGAUGAGGAGUAUUUGUAUUGUAGGAGAUUGUGAAAAUUUUUUAAUUUGUGCUAUGUAUUUGGAGGGUUAGGAUCCUCUCCAUUUAUGUGUUUCUCCAUUUCUUCAAUUUGGAGAGAUAAAGACACAUAAAAUCUUGAAAAAAGUAAAAUAUAAUUAAUGAUGGUGGGACCCACCAUCUAAUUUUUGUGUCUAUCUCUCUCCAACUUGCAAAACUCCAUUUAUUUUGCCAAAUGGAGAGGAUCUUCACCCGUAUUUGGAAGUAUUUCAAUGGUUUAUUAGAUUGAAUAGGAUGAUCCUAAAUCUCUGGGUUCAAAUUUUUUUUUACAUUGAAGACGUUGAUGUUAAUUUUGUGGAUUCAAAGUUUUUGUUUAUGAAAUUGUUCUAAAUUGAAAGCUAAGAAUUUUGUUGGAGCGGAGUUAGAAACUAAUGAUGAAGACAUGUUUAGAAAAAUUGGUGGAUAUUGGUAAGAAGAAUAGUGGAAGGCAUGAGAUGAAGAUUAAGAUGAAAGGAGAGAGAAGACGAAGAUGAAGAUUUUGUAGAUUUCGAAUGUUUUAGAUUUGGUCCUUUUGUCAAUUUUCAUUUUUUUGGUUUUGGUCCCUUUUACUUAUUGACUCAUCAUCUCCUUUGCCACGUGUCCUUCGCACAAAUUCUACCUUUUCUAUAAUCACUACAAACCCUUCCCAAAUCAUUUUUUGAGAGUUAUUAUUGAAUUGAACAUUUAUUUUGAAUUGAGAUUGGAUUUAGAGUUGUUUUUGAAUUUAGUGUGAAUGGUUCAAUUGAGACAGAAAGGGGCUGAGUUGUAGGAGAGGGAGAGGGAGAGAGAGAGGGGUUGGUGAGGAGAGUAGAAUUGAAGUUGCAGAGAUGAUACGAGUGAAAUGAAAGGUGAGAGUGGAAAUAGAUGGGUUGUGGGUAGGGAUGGGAAUAGGUCAGGCCGGCCUACCAUGGGCCUAUGCCUAGCCUACGAUAGGUCAGGCCAUGCCAGACUUUUUUCUAAAUAGAGAUGGCCUGGGCUUUUUUAGAAGCCUAUUUAACAAAAAGGUCAGGCCACAUGCCAUUCAAAAAGCCUCUUCGGCCUAUUAGGCCGGCCUAUUUAAGUAAUUUUGAACAAUAUUAUUUAUUAUUAUAUUAUAUCUUGUAUUUUGAAUUAAAAUAAAAAUUUGUUAACAUUUAGAGUGAUUUAAGCUUAUUAGUAUACAUUAAUUUUUUUUGCAUAUUUAAAUGUAUUAUUAUAAAUUAGAAUUUUUUUCCUUAAAAGCUUGUGUUGAUUAUCAAAAGAGAGUUUAAUCUAACUGAGCUAUUAGUUCUCUAGACUAUUUAAACUUCAAUCGCAUUGUUUAUUUAAAGAUGUUCAUAUGAAAUAGGCUUUUAAACAGGCUAGAAGGCCGUAUCAGGCUUUAAGAAUGCCAGGCUCAGGCCUAAAAAGUAAGCCUAUGACAGACCGCAGGUUAGGCUUAGGUCUUAAAAAAAAUUGGCAGGCCAGGUUUAGGCCUUGCAAAGCCUAGUUCACCCUAGCCUAUUCCUAUCCCUAGUUGGGGGAGAAAGUGGGUUGUUUAAUUGUGGUCACGGUUGUGGUGGUAGUGGUGGUAGUGGUGGUGGUAACGGUAACGGUGGUAGUGUUGGAUUUUUUCCUAAGUUAUAUUCUUUUAUUUUUUUGGAUUUUUUUCUUUAAGUUGAUGAAUAUGGUAUGAAGUUUAUAUGAAGAUCAAUAAGGAGAAGAAAUGUAAGGUAGAAGAUGAAGAAAAGGAAAGAAAAAUUAUGUAUUGAUGGUUCACUAUUAGAUUAAAUGACCUUGCAUGAUUCAAUGGUCUAUUUUAUUUUAAAAUGAUCAAAGGAUUAAAAUCAAAUUUGGAUCACGUAUAAUGUUGAUCCACCUUAAAUAUUUUGAGUUAAAAUUAACAUAAUGGGACUAAAUUGAUAAACAUAGAUGAAAUUAAAGGACUAAAACAAAACUUUUAUUAAUUAAGGACCAAAAUGAACUCAUAAAUUAAUUACAGGAUCAGCCAAUUUUUGUUUUCAUUAAGUCAAAACUUACAUUAAUUCUUUUUGACAAAAAAGCAUUUAGCAAAGUCACUGUUCAAGAAUCAUUAUGAUUGAGUAAGAUUGGUCGACUAUAUGUCAAACUGGAAUCCAAAUCCAAAUCCAAAUAGCAGACAUAAUUAUUUUUUUAAAAUAAAUUACUCAAAAAUUGAACAAUCGAGUUAUUUUUGACAAAAUUGAAUAAUUGAGUUGUUAAUGACAAAAUUGAAUAAUUGAGUUGUUAAUGACAAAAUUGAAUAAUUGAGAUUUUAUUUUUUUUAGCAAUUGAAUAAUUGAGUUGUUAAUUACCUGAAUAAGCCCUUUGAUAAUCUCAUCAGAGUAAUACUCAGGUUGAGAUUUCUGCAAAGUCAAUAGAUGUUGUAUCAUUGUAUUUUCAUUGUGCUUCCCACUUUUAAUCUCUUCAACAAUUCCUUGCAAAAACAAAUCACCUCUCUUCCCAAUAUCCUUCAUCUUCUUAACCAUACCAUCAAAAUCAAACAACCUAAGUAAAGGAACAAAAUCUCCCUUAUUAUUCGCCCCGAACAACGGCAUCAUCUCCGAUACCAUCUCUUUAAACUUUUUAAAUUCCGCGGCAUCACCAACAACCAUUGCCGUCAUAUUAUCAAACAUCAUAUCGGUUAGCCUCGUCCUUAGCUCAACUCGUGUAAACCCAUCACACGAGUCGCGGACUAGAUUUGUUAUAAGCUUCAACGUCCCUUUCCUUCGUGUUUCUCUGAAGGAGUUGAGACGUUGCGUUGAGAGGAUGUCGAGGGUGAUGAUUUUACGAAGGUUACGCCAAUGGUCUCCGUAAGGGGCGGAGUCUAAGCUAGUGUAAUUGUAGAAAAGAUAUUUUCCGGUGAGGAAAUGAGGUCGGUUUGAUAAAACAACGUCGUGUUUGGCUAAGCAUUGUUGAAGUAGGGCUUGGGAGGAGAUAACAACAACACGACGUGACCCGAACCAUAAAGAGAAGAUGUUGCCGUAUUUUUGUGAAAGGUUGUGAAGGGAACGGUGGAGUGGGAGGUUGAUGUAGUGGAGGUGUCCUAUUAAGGGAAGAGUUAUUGAUGGACUUGGUGGAAGGUUUUUAAACUUUCUUCUUUGUAGUAAAAGUUUCAAGGUAAAAAUGAAACUAAGGGAAAGGAGGGAAUAAUAUAACAAAGGAGACAUGAUGUAUUAUCGUGUAUUUAGAUGAGUUUGGAGAUGCAUAAGCUUUUAUAGUGAUAGUGAAAAUAAAAAUUGAGCUGAAAUUUUAAACUAGUGGAGAUGAAAGAGACUGAUUACCAACAAAAGAAAAUUAAUCAACCGAAAUAGAAAGUCAGAUAUGUCGUAGUUGUUGUUGUUGCGAGACUGGGAUAUAAUUUACAAUAUUAAAUAGAGUGAUGGCAUGUCCCGUAUGGUAGAGACCAUAUAUAUCCUAUUUUUUUCGUAUUUAAAAUGUGUCAAUUUUAGUCACUAACCUACUUGAUCAAAAAUAAAAAAUAGAAUGAUGUUAUUUUUUUUGUUAAGGAGGAAUGCUAUGGACAAACUCUCUAACAAACUCCUUUAAACACUCUCAUUCAUUGGUCCACGUCACCACCUUUUAAAAAUCACUUGACUGGAAACUGGCUUGGCAGGUUAUCAAACUUUUAAUCUGAAAAGGGAAAACUGUUCCGAUAAACUUCCCCACCCCACCAGCCCCAGAGUCAAUGAACUUCUUCGUUCCCACCCCACUAUCAACACCUCUUUAACAUUUCUUUUAAAAUUUUGAUGAUCAAUUCCAUUUCAUUUACUAGAGAUUGUGCUUGAGUACGAAAGGCCACCAUUAAUUUUUUGGAUGACGCCAAAAGGUUCAAACCAAUUGCAACUUCCAAUUACUCAAUGAUUAUUGUCAAGUCGAGUGAAAUCAUAAGAAUGGCAUAUGAUGUUUAUCUAUACAAAACAGUUUGUACAUUGAUUCUUUGGCAAGAUCAGAAAUUGAAUAUUAUGUAUGGCAUUCUUUACUAAAUCUGUCAAACAAAAUCACAAAGGGGUUUCAGAUCCAGAGGUGUAGCAUAAAAUUAAAAAUAAAACUAGUUAUUAUCUUGUUGAGAUAAGAUGUGAAGAAAAAUGGGUUAAAAGAGUCAAGGGAGAUAAGAGGUAGAAGAAAUAGAUAAGCAAUUUUUAGAUCUUUGCUGUAAAAAAACUAGAGGACAUGUUCUGUGUUUUCUUGCAACAUGUGAAACUAGUUAUUAGGUAGAAUGUUUAAAAGAUAUGGUGACGUGGACCAAUGGUUGAGGGAGUGUUCAAAAGAGUGUGUUAGAGAGUUUGUCCUUAGCAUUCCUCGUUAACAUAAUAUUUCGUUAUUUUUAUUGAAAGGAACAUAAUAUUUCUUUAUUAAAUACAACUCUUAUAUUUAAAUACCUUAAAUUUACACUACCAAAAAAAGAUACCCUUAAGUUUUAUAAAUUUAUUCAAUAUCUUAUUUUAUCUCCAUCUCUUUCUUUCUUCCUAUUACAUCAACAAUAUAUUAUAUUUUCUUCAAAUAAGUAUCAACAUAUCACAUCUAUUAUAUCACUCCUUUUAUCUCUAUAUCUUUUAAAGUGUAGAUAGAUUGAGUGUCUACCCCUCAAAAAAAAAAAGUUUUAGAUGUUUACCAAUCUUUUCCCUUAAAAUAUUUUGUUGCGACUAUUUUAGAAUAAACUAAUUAUUUUUUUUACGAUUUUUAAUAAAAUAAUUAACAAUAUAUUAGCCACAAAUUAUUUCACCACAAGAGAGCUGCAGCAACCGCCACGUACCACAUUUAAACCUGAACAAGGUCCAUCUACUCUCAUAUUACUUUCACGUAGCAAUGUAUUUUAUUAAGUGGAUUAGGGACAAUAAAUGAUGGUAGCAAUGUUCACACCACAUAUUUCUACCUAAAUAUGUCUCACGUAGUUCUGGUACACAAACGGCAUUGAAAAUAAUUUAUGUUGCAUAAUUGCAAUGUGCAUAAAUGUGAUUCAUACAUCUGAUGUGACUUAUGUGAGAUAUAAUGCAGAGAAGGUUCCAGCAAUGUCCAAUUUUGCGGCAGUUGCCGAUCACAUUCCGAUGCGACAGCUCCUUAGACAAAUCUUAGACCAUCCCCAAUGGUUUAUGCCGUUCAACAUCCACAUUUUCGAUUCCCAACACUCCACAUCAUUUUCUCUCUCUUAUUCAACACUCAUUCAACUUUUAUCUUUUUCAAUGGUUUUUCAUUCAACACUCUACCUCACCAUUUUUUAUUUUUUAUUCUUAUUUAAUUUUUAUUUUUAUAAUUACAUAAAAUUACGAUUAUAAUUAAAUUAAAAUAAUACAAUUAACUAUAUUUUUUAUUAUUUUUGGAAAAACAAAAUUUUGUAAAAUAAUUUAUUUUUAUUUUCUUAAUUUAAAAUGCAAGUACAACAAACUAAGCACGCGGCACACAAAUAACUUAAAAUGCAAUACAAAAAAUUAAGCAUACAGCACACAAGUAAUUUAUUUAGUACGUACAAAUCAUCUUCAAUCACGAUACAUUCCAAACUUUGUCCAUAUGUGUUUCACUAGAUCUGCUUGCAAUUCAUGAUGAACAUCUGGAUCACGCAACUCGGAUCUAGCACGCACAUGAUUUGCAAAUGCUGGUAGCACCUUGGUCGAGUAUGGUUGCGAUGUACUAGAUCCACUUCCCCAGGUUGCUCAAAAUCGGUCCAACGUUGAGCAUAUGUAUCUCGUUUAUCCUCAACAAUCAUAUUAUGUAAUAUGAUGCAUGACCUCAUGAUGAUACCCAAAUCGGCUAUGUCCCACAAGCGAGCUGGUUCACGGAUGAUUUUAAAUCGAGCUUGAAGCACUUCAAAAGCAUGUUCGAUGUCUUUCCGACAUCCCUCUUGAUGUUUUGCAAAUAACUUAUAGGGUUCACUUUGAGGAAGUCUAAUUGAUUUGACAAAAGUUGGAUAAGAAGGGUAGAUACCAUCAGCUAGAUAGUAUGUCAUAUUAUAGGGACGUUGAUUCACAAAGUAAUUCACCCUUGAAGCCUUUCCAUGUUCCACAUCAUCAAACACUGGUGACCGGUCUAAAACGUUUAUAUCGUUCAACGUUCCCGAACAUCCAAAAAAGGCAUGCCAGAUCCAUAGAUCAUGAGAUCCAAAUCAAAUGAACCAAGUCUCUAUUUAUAGAGAGAAAAAAAAAAUAAUGAAUUUUGGUAUUUUUUAUUUAUUUUUAAAUUAAUUUACAACGAAAUAAUUGAGGUCAAAUUAUUAAAAUGAUAAGAAUCCGGACAACCAAUUAAAACGCACCACGUGUCCCUAUCUAUCCAAAACGCGUUUUCUCUCUCUGCCUUCUGAACAGUCACACGCCCUGUCGGCACGUGUGAUGCACACGCCCGUUUUCAAGCAAUAGCAGCGUGCCGCGUGGCAUGAGACAAUAUUCAAUUGUGUUGAAUGCAUUCAUCCUCUCUCUCUUCUAUUCCCCAAUUCAACAGCCAUUAAACAUACCAUUGAAGACAAAAAUCAUGUUGAAUGGCCCAUUAAACACACCAUUGGACAUGGUCUUAUGCAGUUCCUUAAACACAAUUGUUACGGCUGGGUUGGAAGGUUGUAAGAAUCGUCCUCACCGACGUAAUCAAAUUCCUACCGCAAGUUUUAGAUCAGUUGGACUCAUAGAUUUAUGGGAUUAAAUAGGUCAAACACCUAAUUUGUUUUAUUGAUACGCACAACUGCAUAAACUCUAAUCACUCAACAUAGAUAAGACACAAGUAACACAAGGAUAAGAUCCAAUUUACAUGUAAGCAUAAAAAGUAGUGGUAAUAGUCGUAGUAAUCAACAAAAUUAGUAUGCAAUUAAAUUCUAAACAUACGUUUACUGUUUUAUAUCGAAAGAACAGUAGUCCAUCAAUUCUCCCAAAAACAUCAUAUGAUUGAACCAAACAGUGGUUGAACCAUACAAUCAGAUAACUACAAUCGAAGUCAUUUCAUUUCCUACUAGAUGAGAGUAAACGAUAAAAUGGAUCAAACUAUACUGUAAUGUUCUAUAUCAUGAACCACACAGAGAACUAAAGAUAAAACAUAUGGUGAUCAUGACAAAAUGCUACCUUUUAAGUGGUAACUAACCAUAUGAUCUUGUUUCAAAGUAACGGCAGCAUAGGCUAAAUGCCAAAAAUAUACAAUGGCAGUUAAUGUGACACAAAAAACCGCUUGUUUAUGACGCUUCUUCAUGAUAAAGGUGCAGCCCCAACCCAAAGCGUGCACAAGCUCUUCGAAAAGCCAUUGCUUCUGCCUUCUGUACAGGAUCUCCAUAAUUUGUAUCAUCUGUUGAAGCAGUACCAGUUGAUUCCCUAAAUAUCUAGAGAAAUAAACGGUGUUUAGAGAUGACUAAAACAGAAUUGAAAAUAAUCUGUAGACAGAAAGAACAGGAGCUAACUAACAACUGAAGUCUGCUUGUUUCAUUUUUCUGACUCAAUCACCGUAGCUAUAUUAUAUCUACAUCAUGUUUAAAUAUCGAUAUCCAAAGACUUCAAAAGCAAUAGCAAAAAGUUGAAAUCAACAAUGAUUGUAAAUAAACUCGAGAAAAAGAUGCAAAAGCAAUCUGCAGUCAUAUAAAUGUAAAUUUUGUUGAACUAUAGAGCUUCUAAAGCUCUACUAGUCUAGCUCCACUGCCAAGAAAGCUGAACAACUCUUAACCUAGUUCAUAUACCAAUUAGUCAAACAUUUUCGCGUGUUUACAAGACUCCAAGGACAUAGCUAGCUCAAGAUUUCUUGGCAUCUAUUAAUUUUUUUUCAGCAGUUUGACGUCUUGUAAAUGUUCGUAGAUUGAGCACAUUGAACAUUUAGUUCCUUAAAAGUCACUCAACUGACAUGUAUGCAUGAUGAACAAACUGAAUUGUGUGUAGUUUAUAAUGUAGGGAAGAUAGAUUGGCUCAACUUUCCAGGAUUCUGUUCUAUAUACUGAUGGCUUGUGAAGGUAUUGUUAUUGUGUCUAGAAAGUGGAAGAUAUUCGAUAUAUACUUGUCCUUUUAACCAACACAAUACCAGGCAAAGGUUAACACUAUCAAAAGGCAGUAAAAUGUGAGAAUCAAAGUAUUGAUGCAAAUCAAAGAUUCAAUGUGUGUGAUAGGUAAACCAUCUAGUUUAUUAAUUGAGUUUAAAGAUCUAUUAUGAAGUUUCGAUCACCACAAACAUCAAGUAUAAGUAGUAUUUUAUUAGUGUAUGUUUAUAUGGGCAAUGGAAGAGGUAAAUUGCGAUGUCAAGUAUAAAGAUCACAGGCAGAAGCUAUUUCAAGCAGCGUCUGCAGAACCAAAACUACAUCGGUAGUUCUAACUGCUAAGUCAAAUAAAACAGUAAAUCAAGCUGAGCAGAACGUCAGAACUUGAUGUCUCUAUCGAAGAAAGAAAACAUACAAGUUAAACUUCUUCUCCUAAUAUAUAAAACCGAGAGCUGUGAAAAAUUGCUUUUAUACCCCAAGUACAGAAUUUCUAUUCAUACCCCCUAGUAAUUUGAAAAUUGACAAAACUUAGGUGUAUUUCCUCAAGUGAUUCUCGUGUUUUCCUCCACUUAAAAUACACAUAAUGACCCAUGAUUUCCUCAAUCAAUAAUUUUCUCAAAGAUUAUUUUAACUGCUAAAGUGUAUAUUAAGAUAAAAACAACACAAAAAACACCCAAAAACUAUGCACCUAAGUUUAGUCAUUUGAAAAUUACAGUCAAGAUGGUAGAUACCGGUUAAAAAUAUAAAAAAAAAAAUAUAUAUAUUGUUUAUUGAAAGAAAACUCAAUUACAUUCUGAUUCCCGAGAGACCUCUUCACAAGAAUGCAAGGGUACCAGUACCAACACGAGUACUGAUAACGGAUUUGACAAUUUUUUAGAAAACAAAGGUAUGGUUACAUCAAUAAAAAUAUAAAAGAUAAGAAUUUUUUAUUAUAAUAUAACAUGAAAGUUGUUCAAAUGACAACAAAAACAAUACAAUAAAAAUACAAUAUCUGCUCGACAACAAAACAUCACAAUAAUAAUAGAAUAUUGUUCGACAACUCAAAAUCAUAGCAUGGCUAUACAAAUCACGCUCUAACCGUACCAAUAUCACAAUAAUUAUCAUUAACAACUCAAUACAUUCGACUCUAUCCUCUCCAAAAUCAAAGACAGACCUCUCUAAUUUUCCUUUCAUCUAAUUUACAGGGAAUGAGAUUCCAACUAAGGGGGCUAGUGAACAAAAGACUGUCAUUUAGUGAAGCGGUAUAGAAGUAGAAUGAAUGAAGAAUCCAGACCAAUCUCAUACCAAGACAUAUAAGUAGUAAAUAUAAAACAACACAUGCAUGAUGUUGCUUUUUGAGACUGUAAAAUGUUGGUGAGAUUAUUAUAGAUGGUUCAUGAAUAACAUGUUAGCAUAUACUAGUAAAGAUCUCAGACAAGACUAUACAAAUAUGGGGGAAAUGCAGAAAGCAUAGAUAUGAAAUACCACCAAGUGCAUUAACGGAAAACUUUAAAUAGAUAGAAGAUGCAAGUACCUCAGCAUCAGUCCCAUAAAGAGUAACUCGAUAAACAACAGAAACAGAUUUGGCAUCAGCAGAAUAGGCGAUAUUCCGAACCUCACCAGACCACUCUAGCAUAAGAAAAACAAAUAAGUAAAUUUAACAUUGAAACAAAAAUAAAAAAAUUAAUCAAAAGGGUUACAUGUACGUGUGUAUAUACCGGGAGCGUGUAAGUUCAAAACGCGGUUCACAGUAUGCCUGCAAUAAUAUUCAUAAUAACAAAGGGUUAAAUAUAUUUAGUUUCUAUAAUUAUCUCAAAUUUUGUUUUCAAUACACAUGUACCCACUUUUUAGAGUCUAUUUGGAUUUGGAUUGACUUAUUUGAGUUUAGCUUUGUUUGGAUAAACAGCUUAAUUAAGCGUUUACAGCAUGAGCAUUUAUCAUAUAUGUACUUUUGUAAAAGUUGCUUCUAUAACAAACAUAAAAUAAAGUCAAAUUAUUUUCAUACAGCUUAUGUCAUAAGCUUUUUUCAUAAGUCAUUUCAAAGAGUACUUAUAUGAUCCAAAGAUAAACUCAAAUAAGUCAAUCCAAACAUUUGGGUAAAUAGUCAGUUUCGUCAUUGAAUGUGUUACGAGUAACCACAAUAGUCUUCAAUGUAUCGAAAUUUCAAAAUAAUCCUUGAAUGCAUUAUGUUAGUCAAAAUAGUCACUACAGUUAAAAUGUUUCGUUAAUAAUGUCAUAUCAGGCCCUAACUAUAUUGACUAACAUGAUGCACAAUCAGAGACUAUUUUGGAAUUUCGAUACAUUGAAGACUAUUGUCGUUACUUGUAACACAUUCAGUGACAAAAAGACUAUUUACCCAAUAAUGAUGACAAUAAUGUUACAAGAAUACGAGGAUAACAAAGUAGUUUAUUAGGGUUAGGGUUAAGAAAAAGUACCAAGGAAUGUAUCGAAUAUGAAACCCAUCUUUCUCAACACGAGUUUUAACAAGAGAAUCAGGAACUUUCUUGUUCAGCUCUUUCAGUAUUUCAGACAAAGGUCUACAGAUUCCUGAGGUUGGUACAUCGUCUGCCACUUUCUCAAAAUCUGCUGCUGAUGAUGAUGUUGUUUUUGCAUGUUUUAACUUUGAAUAACACCGAUUUUGUUUCAGAAAAUAGGACAAGGUUGUUCUUAGGUGGUUCUGUUUUAGGGCAGAAGAAAAAGACAGUGAUGAUGUUGCCAUUUGAAUUGAGUCAAAUGAGUCGUUUGAUUUCAGUUGUGGAGGUCAGGUGGGGUUAUAUAACUUUGUAAUUUAAUGGGCCUGGCUUUUUUGUACUCAAUAAAUAGGUGUAGCUAUUAACACCCAUACAAAUUGGUUAAACACCUAUGAAGCGCUAAAACGGACACCGGACACAACAUUAACAUAUUAACAUUGUUAAUAAUUUGUGAAAAUGACAUAAUUGAAUGUAACUGUAUGUGUUGGUAUUGUUUUGGUUUUCAGCACUGAUAUGUGUCGAACAUCGGACAGCUUUCGAUCAAAAGUGUCGGUACUACGGAGGUAGACACGUUUCCUUUUUUUUUUAUUAUCCAAAAUGUCAAAAAAGGUAGUUUAUGAGAAGCAGUGCUUUAAAAUUUGAACCGGAGAUUGAAAAGUGAGACUUUUGGAUCAUGGUUAAAUCAACGUUGGAGUUGAUCUAAUUCAACUAAAUUACAAUUUAAUCAAGGAUGAACUAACGUGGGAAUUGAUGUUAUUAACAUAGAUACAUGAAUGGAUGAUACGCAACAAAAGAUAAAAAAAAAAAAAAAAAAAAAAAACCUUCUACAACACUUCAAGAACCAACAUGUUCCUACCUCGUAAAUAAACUGAGUGUCGAUGCGCUCCAUUGCCGUAUGUGUUAAUCAACUUUUGGAUACCUACCAUGUAGUUCAUAUUUGCAGGGACCUCAUUUUAAUCAGAUAGGCUCCCCCCACCCUAUCUCGAAUUCGGUUACUCCAAACAUCUGGAUAACCCUCGUAACAAAUCGCGUUAAAUCCUAAGAGGAAAGAUAACAACAACCAAAAAGCUUAACACCCAGACACAUACUAUAAAUAGGGGUCUCGUCCUCAUGAAUGAUCACUCAAUAUAUAUCUCAUUUACUCACUUUACUACCUACUAACAUUUGAGCAUCGGAGUGUCAUUUGCAUGCACACCUCCCACCACUUGAAAAAUAAGCAUAUGACCCAUCGCAAUGAGUUCAACCAAUUGAAAAAGGAGCACACCCCUUCUUAGGAGGUAAACCCCAUAUGUUCAUACAUAAACAAGGACUUUGAAAAAGGUAUAUCAACAAUACAAAACUCUAGUGAUCUUUGUAAUAAAAUAUCAAAUAUUAUAUUUCACAUCAAUUUUGAUACAUUAUCUGUUUCAUAAAGGAAACAACAGUAAUUACAACAAUACAUAGAAGAUUAAGUUACAUUUGAGCCAAUUGUUGGAUAUUAAUUGGAUAAGCAUCAUUCUGGGGGCCAUUAACAGCUCUCCAAGCAAAUACAUAAGUUGCAGACUGCGUUGGGUGAAAAGCAUCCCAGAACACAUAUUGUGCUCUGUUUGCACAUGGAAAUUGCAUUGGGAGACAUGAUAUUUGGCCUCUAUUCCUUCCAAGACCACAACAAGCUCUAUCAAUAACACUGAAUGCUGCAACCACAACAAAAAAUCACCAUUAUGAACACAAAUCCAUCGUCUUCGGUUGAAUAAACAACUUAAUUAAGCUCUUAUAGCAAAAGAUAAAAUAAAAUAAAAUUGUUUAUAUUGGUUGUAAACUAUGAAGCACGGAUGCAGACACCUGACACGAUACGGACACUGACACGCAUUAACUGAGGAGUGUUCAUGUUUCAUAGGUCGUAAAGUAAAACUUUACUAAUUGAAUUCAAUUUUAUUAUUAGUAGUAUUAAAUCUUACCAUAGGCAGCAGGGUUAUUAAGAAUAUCACCAAAGACACCAUAAGUGUUUCCAUAUACAAACUUGGCAUCAGAAUGGUCUCUGUUGAACUGCUCCACCAUUGAUCUGAGUCCUCCAUUGUAAGUUCCAACCAUCUGAUUUACUGAAUCCACACACCUUCCUGGUGGGGCAAAUCCAUUAGCUCUUUGAUUAGGAAUGCAACCAAGUGGUCCAACUCCUGCUAAGAAGAACUUCCUUAAUCCCAGGCUGUAUAGUGCCUUCAAUACAACAUAUAAAUUAAUUAAUUACACUUAGAUGUCAACAUGUUUGAUUAGGAAUAUUAAUCUUCAUUUUAAUCCUACAUAUCACUCUUUUUUCCCCGGUAGAUAGACGAAAUGACAAUAGUAAUUAAAAACUAACAUACCAGUGGAUGAGCCAAGAGCCGAAGACGGAUUACUCUCUUAUACUUAAUUCUUAAAGUAUAUGAAAAUAAUAAACAGUCCGUAGAAUAUAUGAAAAUUUGUCCGGAUCGUAUACUUUAGAAAUUACUUAUUAUUUUCGCAUAUUUUAGGUAGGACUAUCCAUGGUUGGGUUUGGGAAGGAAGAUCGAACCGAAAUGAACUGUUACAACAUUUUGGUGUAACUUAACCAAACCCAUAAUAGUUCGUCCUGAACCAAAUUGAACUGAUGUUAAAAUUUGAUGGAACAGAACAAUUAUGUGUUUUCAAAUAGUAACUACUUUUUUUCGUCCUUAAUUUUCUACAAAGAUAGAUGCGGUUUUAUUUUCCUUAUCAAAAAUAAAAAACAACAACUACCUUUGUAAAAAAUUAAAUUAUACAUUCUUGAACUGAACUAUUUCUAUGAAACUAUUGAAUGUUGCAUUUUUCAAACCAAAGUUAAAGGCACACAUUUUGAGCAUUAAUCGAUUUUGGCCUAUAAAAAAAACCAAACCGAAAAGAAUUAAACCGUGAAGGAUAAGUCAGUUCAUGUUCGGUCCUUCACGGUUCUUUUCAAUAUGGUUUAGCAAUUGAUUUCAAUUUUUUGUUUUUCUUUAUCAAACUUAAUAUAAGGGACUAAAUUGAAAGUUUACUCCACAAAUUAACCUUUAGCAAAAUAAUUACCAGAAUUUGUCGCCCAAAGGUAUUGAGAAGAAGAUUGCCAAAUUGAGGGACAGAAUAAUUUCUACUAGUGCCAUAAUAUUCAGGUCGGAGGUAAUUAUUUAUAUAAUCAUUACUUCCAGUCACCACAAUCACUAUUGACUUAGCUAAGAAUUGACUCAAUGCAGUUUCAUUCAUCAUUUUCUUAUAUUGAUUCAAUGUUCUCUCAAAGUUCUGGAGUUGCCGGCUCAUGCUAUGCCUAUCCCCCUGCAUCACAUCAUUGAAGUUUUAAUUAGAAUUUUAUAAGUAAUAAAUAAAAGACAAAUCAUGCUAACUUGUGUCCUUAUGACACAUAUUAAGGUUUCUGUAAAGAUUAGUAUUUAUUGAAAAAUAUUACAUUUCAAUCUUGUGAAGAUGCAUAAUUUUUAUCUUUGAAAUCUUAACUUGUGUCCUAAGGGCACAAGUUAGCAUUUCCCAUAAAAGAUUGCACAAUCAAUUUAUAAAAAUUAAAAAAAAAGUGAAAAUAAAAAUCUAAUAGAAAUUUUUUAAAAGGGGUUGCAUUCAGGGUGGCCGUGAACAUGGGCAGAAGGGGCGGCCGUCCAAAGCACCAUUUUUUUAUGCAUCAAAAUUAUUAUUUUUGCUUAGUAAUUAGUAGUAUAUAUAUGUAUUUAUUUUUAACUCAAUUUUAUUAAUUCAAUGAAAAAUAUUUUAUUUAGACAACCUUGUUUAUGAUUCGUCUCAGAUAUCAAAAGUCUUAGGACCGACUCUGGUUGCACUCAACAUUUGAUUCAUGGAACAAGAACAUACUAUCAAUUUAAUAGUAGGAUUCUAUUUAAUGCCAUAAUAUAAACUUGAGAAUAAUUGAGAAAGUGUGUAAAGUACAUAGUGUCUCCCUGAAUCAUCAAGAAUGCCACCAGAACCUGAUGCAUAAUUGACUCCAUUAAGUAAUUUGUUCUCUGUACUAGUAGGGUCUAAAAAAGGUGGAGGAGAAGGAACACCCAACAUAUCACCUGUAAAAUUAAAAUAAAUUAUAUACAAGAGAAAAUAAAAAGAAUCAAGAUUAAUAUAUUUUAUAAACUAAAAAUAGAUUGAAAACAAAAAUUUAAAAUAAUAAAAAUCUGGAGUUUUUUUUUUUUUGUCAAGUAACCUAAUGGCUAGAGCUCACACAUUUUAAUAUGGAGAGUGGGAAGUCCGGAGUUCGAACCCCGGCCUCCUGCAUAUAAUAUGCAAUAUCCCUACCAACUGAGUUAAGUUCACAGGGAUAAAAUCUGGUGUAUUUAAACCAAAAGAAUAUUAAAAAUAAAAAUAAAAAAGUAAUGAGAUAAUUUACCAAUGAAAUCAAUGAGGGAUUUCCCAUUAGAAAAUCUCCCUGUAGGUCUACCAUUGUAAUCAAUACCAUAUGGAUAGAAAUUUGAUUUUGCAAAAGUACUUAGGAAAUUGUUGUUACCAACUUCCACAAGUGAAUCUCCAAAAACAAACAUACCAGGAACCUUUUGUGAGUUCACUUUAACCACCAUAUUAAAACAUUGCAAAACUAGAACUAGAAGCACCAUAUAUUCAGAUACACCCUUCAUUUGAAUUGUCUAAAAAAUAAUUAAGCAAAAUAUAAUGUAAAAGUUUGAGUUGGAAUAAUUUGGACCAAACAUCAUAUAUAUAUAUAUAUAUAUAUAUAUAUAUAUAUAAGGUGGUGAAUUUGCUUACAUCAUUGUCUAAGAAUGCAAGCCAAACCCAUCAUUUUACAUGUUUUUACUUGCCUUGCCUUUCCUUGUGAUUUUUCGUGAUGCUUGUAACCUCACUUUUUCCAUGUUUUCAUUUUCUUUUUUUGGUUAUGACGUGAGUUUUAGUGUGUCAUAACCUCAAUUUCCAUGCAUUAGUCGUAAUUAUUCCAUGAAUUCAUGUAAAUAGGGAUAACCGAAAGUGAUUUUCCCAAUUUUGGUUAAAAGAAAGAGUUUGGGAAAUCUUGUGGACAUUAGUUGAUCUUUUGUGAGAAAUAUUCAAUCUUACUACAUGCGUGUCUUUUAAUGUUGUUUUGAACAAAUUAAAAAAGAUUAAUAAAAUAAAAUAAAAAUCAAAUACACACUUACUUUUCUUAUAUAAAAAAAUACACUUACUUUUCAUUGGCUCAAUCCCUCUUUUACAUUAUCUAUUCAUUAAUAAUCGAUAAAAUAAUUUUGGCUUCUUAAAAAAAAAUUUGACAAACACGUACACCUUCGGUCACUAUUAUAAGUAAAAAUUUAAAUUUUAAAUUCAUACAAUUAAUGAUGUAUCCAUAUACAUCAUUUAAUGAAUGAAUCUAAAAUGAUCAUUUUUACUUAUAACAGUGACCCGAGAGUGUAAGAGUAUAAUUGACGAGAAAAGUAGUUAAUGAAAUUUGAAAAAUGACAUAUGAAAUUGAUUAAUUUGAACACUAAAAAGAACGACUCUGCCGAAAGUAUGAUUGAUACAUGAAAAAGGAUUAAAUGAUCCAUUUUUGUUUCCAUGCCUACCAUGUAUCUUUUUAUGUAAGCUAAAAAAUUUAAUAAAAUUAAAGAUUACAUGAUUUCAUGUAAUUGAGUAGGCAAAACCAAUCUGUGCGAUCAUGAUUUCUCUUCCAAGAGUGUAUUUGGAUAAGGAAUGUUUUGAGGGAAAGUAAUGUUUUGAGAAAUUCAACUAUUUUAAAGUGAAUUCUGUUGUUUGAAAAAAAGGGAAAAAUUUAUAGAAGUCUUAAUAUUUUCUAGAAAGAAAAAAAAAGGUGGGAGAGGUGCAAUACAAGGACUUCCCAGGAGGUCACCCAUCCUAGUACUACUCUCGCUAGAAUCCGGUGCAUCAGUGCUUGUAUGAUCGCACCUAAGAGUAAUACACUCUUAUUGUAUAUAUGUGUUUGUUUGUUGCGAAAAAUAUAAAACUUCGACAAUUAAGAAAAAAAAUAAAAAUAUAUAGAAGUCUUACUAUUUUCUAGAAGAAGAAAAAAAGGGAAAAAUUUAUAGAAGUGUUAAUAUUUUCCAGAAGAAGAAUAAAAGGGAAAAAUUUAUAGAAGUCUUAAUAUUUUCGAGAAAGAAAAACAUGGAUGGGAGAGGUGCAACACAAGGACUUCCCAAAAGGUCACCCAUCCUAGAACUACUCUCGCCCAAGCACGCUUAACUACGGAGUUCUGAUGAAAUCUGGUGCAUUAGUGCUGGUACGAUCACACCUGAGAGUAAUACGCUCUAAUUAUAUAUAUGUGUUUGUUCGUUGCGAAAAAUAUAAAACUUCGACAGUUAACAAAAGAAUAAAAACAUAUAGAAGUCUUACUAUUUUCUAGAAGAAGAAAAAAAGGGAAAAAUUUAUAGAAGUGUUAAUAUUUUCUAGAAAGAAAACAAAAGGUGGGAGACAUCAACACAAUGACUUCCCAGGAGGUCACCCAUCAUAGUACUACUCUCGCCCUAGCACGCUUAACUGUGGAGUUCUGAUGGGAUCCGGUGCAUCAGUGCUGGUAUAAACGAACCUGAGAGUAAUACGCUCUAAUUGUAUAUAUGUGUUUGUUCGUUGCGAAAAAUAUAAAACUUCAACAAUUAACAAAAAAAUAAAAACAUAUAGAAGUCUUACUAUUUUCUAGAAGAAGAAAAAAAGGGAAAAAUUUAUAGAAGUCUUAAUGUUUUCUAGAAAGAAAACAAAGGAUGGGAGAGGUGCAACACAAGGACUUCCCAAGAGGUCACCCAUCAUAGUACUACUCUCGCCCUAGCACGCUUAACUGCAGAGUUCUGAUGGGAUCCGGUGCAUCAGUGCUGGUAUGAACGCACCUGAGAGUAAUAUGCUCUAAUUGUAUAUAUGUGUUUGUUCGUUGCGAAAAAUAUAAAACUUCAACAAUUAACAAAAAAAUAAAAACAUAUAGAAGUCUUACUAUUUUCUAGAAGAAGAAAAAAAGGGAAAAAUUUAUAGAAGUGUUAAUAUUUUCUAGAAAGAAAACAAAAGGUGGGAGACAGCAACACAAUGACUUCCUAGGAGGUCACCCAUCAUAGUACUACUCUCGCCCUAGCACCCUUAACUGCGGAGUUCUGAUGGGAUCUGGUGCAUCAGUGCUGGUAUGAACGCACCUGAGAGUAAUACGCUCUAAUUGUAUAUAUGUGUUUGUUCGUUGCGAAAAAUAUAAAACUUCAACAAUUAACAAAAAAAUAAAAACAUAUAGAAGUCUUACUAUUUUCUAGAAGAAGAAAAAAAGGGAAAAAUUUAUAGAAGUGUUAAUAUUUUCUAGAAAGAAAACAAAAGGUGGGAGACAGCAACACAAUGACUUCCCAGGAGGUCACCCAUCAUAGUACUACUCUCGCCCUAGCACACUUAACUGUGGAGUUCUUAUGGGAUCCGGUGCAUCAGUGCUGGUAUGAACGCACCUGAGAGUAAUAUGCUCUAAUUGUAUAUAUGUGUUUGUUCGUUGCGAAAAAUAUAAAACUUCAACAAUUAACAAAAAAAAUAAAAAGAUAUACAAGUCUUACUAUUUUCUAGAAGAAGAAAAAAAGGGAAAAAUUUAUAGAAGUGUUAAUUUUUUUCUAAAAGAAGAAAAAAAUUAAAAAAUUUAUAGAAGUCUUAAUAUUUUCUAGAAAGAAAAAAAAUGGAGGGAGAGGUGCAACUAAAGGACUUCCUAGGAGGUCACCCGUCCUAGUAUUAUUCUCGCCAAAGUACGCUUAAGUGCGGAGUUCUAAUGGGAUCCGGUGCAUUAGUGUUGGUAUGAUUGCUGAUGACAUUCUGUCAUUACUCUUUUAGUAGACAUUUUUCAUGUAAUUUUAGGGGUUAUUUAUUGUAAUUCAUGGAGUUGCAAGCUACAAAAGAAGAAGAAAUUGAAGUUUGCAAGAUUGGAAAUCGGCCACCGAUUUUUGCUGCAAUUUUGAGCUUUGGCAUCGUGAAAAAUCGGCCACCGAUUUGGUACUUUCUGGGCACGCGUUCUGUUGAAAUCGGCCACCGAUUUUGACCUGCUUAUAAAUAUAAAGAGGCGUUUUCAGAUUAGGGGUUCACGAAUUUUGAGACCUAAAGGCAUAUUUUGGAGCAGAGACUUGGAGAUCUGGUGGGAAACCAUCAAAACUAAGAGUAAAUCAUCCGUCACAUGUAUGAAUCCUUUUUCUUAUGUUAGUUAGCUUCUACUUUAGCUAUGAGUAACUAAUUCUUUUGUGGUUAAUUUCUGAGAUGAAUCUGAUGUAACCCUAUUGGAACCCAAAUUUGUUGAACUCCUUUGAACAUCAAUGAAAGUUUAGUUUUUAUUCAUAUUACCUUGUGUUUAAUGCCUUAUGUAUGUUUAUGAUAGACUAUUAACCCUAGCUUUAUGAAUAUGCAUAUUGAUCAUAGAAAUUGAAUGACCACUAACCCUGGCUUUUAAUUCUUAAUUAGGUAAUAGGUUUAACCUAAGUAAUCAAGCUAGAGAUAGAUCAUUAUUAGGUUAUGAUAUAGGGAUUAACGUUCGUUUAAUACCUCCAAUGGUUUCGAAUUCACUUAAGAGAUUAAGGGGUUGUCACUUGCGGGGAGAAUUGUAGGUCAAGAGAUUGGGUAGAAUUACUAAGUUAAUCCGUCGUGAAACUAAAUAAUCAUUGAUUGUAUUUAGGAGUGCAAAUUACCAUAGGCGAGCUUCGGAAGAUUCCAAGGACUUAACCAUACUUCUAGAAACCAAAUCUUUAUUGUUUUUAAUCAGUUUAUGUUACUAAAUCAACUCAACUGCCUAGGGCACCAAUAUAAAUUUAUACAUCCUUUUUAAUAAUGAAAUUGCUAAGUAGAAGUUAAAUACAGUCCUCGUGGAAACGAUCUUUUUUAUUACUUCGAUCGAAUUUGGUUCACUUGCCAAAUAUCUAUCAAUCGCACCUGAAAGUAAUACACUCUAAUUGUAUAUAUGUGUUUGUUCGUUGCGAAAAAUAUAAAACUUCGACAAUUAACAAAAAAAUAAAAACAUAUAGAAGUCUUACUAUUUUCUAGAAGAAGAAAAAAAGGAAAAAAUUUAUAGAAGUGUUAAUUUUUUCUAGAAGAAGAAAAAAAGGAAAAAAAUUAUAGAAGUCUUAAUAUUUUCUAGAAAGAAAAAAAACGGUGGGAGAGGUGCAAUACAAGGACUUCCCAGGAGGUCACCCAUCCUAGUACUACUCUCGCCCAAGCAUGAUGGGAUCCGGUGCAUUAGUGUUGGUAUGAUCGCACCUAAAAGUAAUACGCUCUAAUUGUAUAUAUGAGUUUGUUCGUUGCGAAGAAUAUAAAACUUCGACAAUUAACAAAAAAAUAAAAACAUAUAGAAGUCUUACUAUUUUCUAGAAGAAGAAAAAAAGGGAAAAAUUUAUAGAAGUGUUAAUUUUUUUCUAGAAGAAGAAAAAAAGGAAAAAACUUAUAGAAGUCUUAAUAUUUUCUAGAAAGAAAACAAAGGGUGGGAGAGGUUCAAUACAAGGACUACCCAGGAGGUCAUCCAUCCUAGUACUACUCUCGCCCAAGCACGCUUAACUGCGGAGUUCUGAUGGGAUCCGGUGCAUUAGUGCUGGUAUGAUCGCACCUGAAUGUAAUACGCUCUAAUUGUAUAUAUGUGUUUGUUCGUUUCGAAAAAUAUAAAACUUCGACAGUUAACAAAAAAAUAAAAACAUAUGGAAGUCUUACUAUUUUCUAGUAGAAGAAAAAAGGGAAAAAUUUAUAGAAGUGUUAAUUUUUUCUAGAACAAGAAAAAAAGGAAAAAAUUUAUAGAAGUCUUAAUAUUUUCUAGAAAGAAAAAAAAUGGUGGGAGAUGUGCAAUACAAGGACUUCCUAGGAGGUCACCCAUCCUAGUACUACUCUCGCCCAAGCAUGAUGGGAUCCUGUGCAUUAGUGUUGGUAUUAUCGUACCUAAAAGUAAUACGCUCUAAUUGUAUAUAUGUGUUUGUUCGUUGCGAAAAAUAUAAAACAUAUAUACAAUUAACAAAAAAAUAAAAACAUAUAGAAGUCUUACUAUUUUCUAGAAGAAGAAAAAAAGGGAAAAAUUUAUAGAAGUGUUAAUUUUUUUCUAGAAGAAGAAAAAAAGGAAAAAACUUAUAGAAGUCUUAAUAUUUUCUAGAAAGAAAACAAAGGGUGGGAGAGGUUCAGCACAAGGACUACCCAGGAGAUCAUCCAUCCUAGUACUACUCUCGCCCAAACACGCUUAACUGCGGCGUUCUGAUGGGAUCCGGUGCAUUAGUGCUGGUAUGAUUGCGCCUGAAUGUAAUACGCUCUAAUUGUAUAUAUGUGUUUGUUCAUUUCGAAAAAUAUAAAACUUCGACAGUUAACAAAAAAAUAAAAACAUAUAGAAGUCUUACUAUUUUCUAGAAGAAGAAAAAAGGAAAAAUUUUAUAGAAGUGUUAAUAUUUUCUAGAAGAAGAAAAAAAGGGAAAAAUUUAUAGAAGUCUUAAUAUUUUCUAGAAAGAAAACAAAGGGUGGGAGAGGUUAAACACAAGGACUUUCCAGGAGGUCAUCCAUCCUAGUACUACUCCCGCCCAAGCACGCUUAACUGUGGAGUUUUGAUGGGAUCUGGUGCAUUAGUGCUAGUAUGAUCGCACCUGAAUGUAAUACGUUGUAAUUGUAUAUAUGUGUUUGUUCGUUGCGAAAAAUAUAAAAUUUCGACAGUUAACAAAAAAGUAAAAACAUAUAGAAGUCUUACUAUUUUCUAGAAGAAGAAAAAAGGAAAAAAUUUAUAGAAGUGUUAAUAUUUUCUAGAAGAAGAAAAAAAGGGAAAAAUUUAUAGAAGUCUUAAUAUUUUCUAGAAAGAAAACAAAGGGUGGGAGAGGUUAAACACAAGGACUUUCCAGGAGGUCAUCCAUCCUAGUACUACUCUCGCCCAAGCACGCUUAACUGCGGAGUUCUGAUGGGAUCCGGUGCAUUAGUGCUGGUAUGAUCGCACCUGAAUGUAAUACGCUCUAAUUGUAUAUAUGUGUUUGUUCGUUUCGAAAAAUAUAAAACUUCGACAGUUAACAAAAAAAUAAAAACAUAUAGAAGUCUUACUAUUUUCUAGUAGAAGAAAAAAGGGAAAAAUUUAUAGAAGUGUUAAUUUUUUCUAGAACAAGAAAAAAAGGAAAAAAUUUAUAGAAGUCUUAAUAUUUUCUAGAAAGAAAAAAAAUGGUGGGAGAUGUGCAAUACAAGGACUUCCUAGGACGUCACCCAUCCUAGUACUACUCUCGCCCAAGCAUGAUGGGAUCCUGUGCAUUAGUGUUGGUAUUAUCGCACCUGAAAGUAAUACGCUCUAAUUGUAUAUAUGUGUUUGUUCGUUGCGAAAAAUAUAAAACUUCGACAAUUAACAAAAAAAUAAAAACAUAUAGAAGUCUUACUAUUUUCUAGAAGAAGAAAAAAAGGGAAAAAUUUAUAGAAGUGUUAAUUUUUUUCUAGACGAAGAAAAAAAGGAAAAAAUGUAUAGAAGUCUUAAUAUUUUCUAGAAAGAAAACAAAGGGUGGGAGAGGUUCAACACAAGGACUACCCAGGAGAUCAUCCAUCCUAGUACUACUCUCGCCCAAGCACGCUUAACUGCGGAGUUCUGAUGGGAUCCGGUGCAUUAGUGCUGGUAUGAUCGCACCUGAAUGUAAUACGCUCUAAUUGUAUAUAUGUGUUUGUUCGUUGCGAAAAAUAUAAAACUUCGACAAUUAACAAAAAAAUAAAAACAUAUAGAUGUCUUACUCUUUUCUAGAAGAAGAAAAUAAGGGAAAAAUUUAUAGAAGUGUUAAUUUUUUUCUAGAAGAAGAAAAAAAGGGAAAAAUUUAUAGAAGUCUUAAUAUUUUCUAGAAAGAAAACAAAGGGUGGGAGAGGUUAAACACAAGGACUUCCCAGGAGUCAUCCAUCCUAGUACUACUCCCGCCCAAGCACGCUUAACUGCGGAGUUCUGAUGGGAUCCGGUGCAUUAGUGCUGGUAUGAUCGCACCUGAAUGUAUUUUAUUUUUUUUAGCCAAAAAAGAGGAGCAGCAAAGAACCACUACCUCAAAACUUCAUAAACUUAACAAAGAGAGAAAACACAAAAAUGGAGGGGAACAUAAGGCCAAACCUCCUAACCAGAGGAUACCCUAAAGUUGGGCAUCCCAAGUCUAUCAUGAAUUACAAAGUUGUUUAUGAAAUCAGGCAUGUUCAACCAAAUUGUGACUCCUUCUAUAUCUAAACCUUUUGAAGCCAACUUAUCUGCACACCUAUUAUCUUCUCUAUAAAUAUGAGUUAUAACAAAAUUCAUUCUACAAAGAAGUUUCCUGCAGUUUAUCCAUCUGUUUCUUAACCUACAAGGUAUCAUAGACAUUUUUUUAAAAGCCAUAACAACCAAAGCUGAGUCAGAUUCAAUCCAUAUGUUCCUCCAAUUUCUCUGGUAAGCUAUUUCCACUACUCUCAUGAUAGCUGCAAGCUCAGGCUGAUAUGCACUCCCACCUCCCAAGUUUUUAGCAAAGCAAGAAAGGAAGUUAGCAUUUUGGUCCCUGAAAACUCCUCCACAUGAUGAAGAGGUUGCCGUAGAAGCCCCAUCAGUGUUGAAUUUUAUCCACCCUACAAUUGGGGGAUACUAGAUAAUCUCCUUAAUGCAAGUUGGUUUUGGGGGAUGAACCAAAACAUUGAAUUUCUUUAAUAUGAUGAGGUCCCUAACUGAAGAAUUAGAAGAUUUGUUGGUGUAGUUUCCAGAUAGGUUCACAGCAGUUAUAAUGUUAUUGAUUGCUAGCUGCCAGUGAGGUGAUCUAUUGUGAAACCUGCGUUGGUUUCUAUUAUACCAGAUGGUGGAUAUUAUAUUGACUAUAGUGGCCUGAUUCACUACUUUACAUUGAGGGGACCACCCUCUGUCACACACAGACCAAAUGUCAGGAAUGGAUUGAAAAUGAAGCGAUGAAUCAAGAACAGAUGCAAACCAACACCAGAUUCUAAAAGCAAAGCAACAUUCAAAGAAAAGAUGAAAAGAUGUUUCGACAUGAGUACCACAUAAUGAGCACAUUGAUGGGAGUUGGCAUCCUCUUUGCUGGAGUUUUUCAUCUGUUGGAACUUUAUCAUGAAUUAGUCUCCAAGUAAGGAUGGAUUUUGAUGGUGGUAUAUCUUUGCUCCAGAUGAGUUUGGCCCAGUUAUGAGUAUUUACAGGUUGGUUCUUGAAGGCAUAUGAGUCACGCAUCAUCAAGUCUCCAUUAGAGUUGUGAUUCCAAAUCAGUUUGUCUUCUUUGUCCUCCAUUGGAAUAGUAACUUUCUCAGCAAGCAACUUCAGCGCAGGGUAAUGAACCAGAAUUGUUUGAGGUAUAUGCCAUCUGAAGUUUUGAAUGUAGUCAUGAACAAACUGAGGAUAUUCUCUAUAUAUGUCUUGAUUAACGUUAAGGGUUUCAUGCAGAGGUUCCCCACACCAAGCAUCUUCCCAGAACUUAAUCAAUCUCCCAUUACCAAGCAGCCAUUUAGAGUUAUCCAUGACAAUUGGAAAUUCAUUUAGAGUUACCUGAAUGUAAUACGCUCUAAUUGUAUAUAUGUGUUUGUUCGUUGCGAAAAAUAUAAAACUUCGACAAUUAACAAAAAAAUAAAAACAUAGAACAGUCUUACUCUUUUCUAGAAGAAGAAAAUAAGGAAAAAAUUUAUAGAAGUGUUAAUUUUUUUCUAGAAGAAGAAAAAAAUGAAAAAAAUUAUAGAAGUCAUAAUAUUUUCUAGAAAGAAAAAAAAUGGUGGGAGAGGUGCAACAAAAGGACUUCCCCCUAGAGGUCACCCAUCCUAGUACUACUCUCGUCCAAGCACGCUUAAUUGCGGAGUUCUAAUGGGAUCGGUGCAUUAGUGUUGGUAUGAUCACACCUGAAAGUAAUACACUCUAAUUGUAUAUAUGUGUUUGUUCGUUGCGAAAAAUAUAAAACAACGACAAUUAACAAAAAAAUAAAAACAUAUAGAAGUCUUACUAUUUUCUAGAAGAAGAAAAAAAGGGAAAAAUUUAUAGAAGUGUUAAUUUUUUCUAGAAAAAGAAAAAAAGGAAAAAAUUUAUAGAAGUCUUAAUAUUUUCUAGAAAGAAAAAAAAUGGUGGGAGAGGUGCAAUACAAGGACUUCCCAGGUGGUCACCCAUCCUAGUACUACUCUCGCCCAAGCACGCUUAACUGCGGAGUUCUGAUGGGAUCCGGUGCAUUAGUGCUGGUAUGAUCGCACCUGAAUGUAAUACGCUCUAAUUGUAUAUAUGUGUUUGUUCGCUGCAAAAAAUAUAAAACUUCGACAGUUAAGAAAAAAAUAUAAACAUAUAGAAGUCUUACUAUUUUCUAGAAGAAGGAAAAAGGUAAAAAUUUAUAGAAGUGUUAAUAUUUUCUAGAAGAAGAAAAAAAAGGAAAAAAUUUAUAGACGUCUUAAUAUUUUCUAGAAAGAAAACAAAGUUAUUUUCAUGAUAAAAAGCAAGCUAUGACCACUCAAUUCAACACCAUACUAUCAGAAGUUAAUCAAAGUUACAAUCUUAGUUUGGUUAAAGGGUCUCCGGCUAUGCUUGAUUAUAAUGUGGCCAAAUUGUUUAACAUACCCUUCAAAGUUAAGAGAAUCACUCCUAUUAAUGGAACUUCUUGGAAGCCUCGAAGUGUUGGAGUUUUUAAACUUAAUUGUGAUGGUUCUUCAAUUGGCAGUCAACCUUGUGGUUCAAUAGGUAUUGUUAUCAGAGACUUAUAUUCCAAUUUUCUUGGGGCUAUCUGCAGCAACAUUGGUCAUGCAACACCUGUUGAGGCUGAGUUCAGUGCCUGCAUGCUUGCCAUUGAAAGAGCUCAACACAUGGGUCUUACUAAUAUAUGCUUAGAAACUGAUUCUUUGCAAGUGGUUAACGCUUUCAGGACUAAGAUGGGGGCUCCUUGGAAGAUGACAGCCAGAUGGUUCAAUUGCUUAAAGUUUUGCUCUGGCAUUAUUUGUUCUUUUGUUCACAUUCCUAGAGAAGGAAACAUGGUAGCUGAUGUUAUAGCCAAAAAUGGACAGGGUCUAUCUCUCUAUUCCACACAGUGGUGGUCUUUCCCACCAUCUUUCAUUAAUUCUCUUCUCCUAAGAGACAGUCAUGGACUUUCUUUUUCUAGAUUACCUUGAUUUUUCUUGUCCUCCUUGUUGGUUUUAGGAGGAUCUUGUAUUGUUUGUUUGUGUUGGCUUUGCUUUUUUGAUUUGGUUUCAGGGUUUCUUUUGGGGGUUCUUUGUAUUGCUUGUUUUCUUUGUUCUGAUGCUUUGGUGAUUGUAUUCGGUUCAGCCCUCUCGUGAUCUUUUAUAUAAUCUAGCUUUAUCAAAUAAAAUAAAAAAACAAAGGGUGGGAGAGGUUAAACACAAGGACUUCCCAGGAGGACACCCAUCAUAGUACUACUCUCGCCCAAGCACGCUUAACUGCGGAGUUCUGAUGGGAUCCGGUGCAUUAGUGCUGAUAUGGUCGCACCUGAAAGUAAUACGCCCUAAUUGUAUAUAUGUGUUUGUUCGUUGCGAAAAAUAAAAAACUUCGACAAUUAACAAAAAAAUAAAAACAUAUAGAAGCCUUACUAUUUUCUAGAAGAAGAAAAAAAGGGAAAAAUUUAUAGAAGUGUUAAUUUUUUCUAGAAGAAGGAAAAAAGGAAAAUAUUUAUAGAAGUCUUAAUAUUUUCAAGAAGGAAAAAAAAAUGGUGGGAGAGGUGCAACACAAGGACUUCCCAGGAGGUCACCCAUCCUAGUACUACUCUCGCCCAAGAAUGAUGGGAUCCAGUGCAUUAGUGUUGGUAUGAUCGCACCUGAAAGUAAUACACUCUAAUUGUAUAUAUGUGUUUGUUCGUUGCGAAAAAUAUAAAACUUCGACAAUUAACAAAAAAAUAAAAACAUAUAAAAGUCUUACUUUUUUCUAGAAGAAGAAAAAAAGGGAAAAAUUUAUAGAAGUGUUAAUUUUUUCUAGAAGAAGAAAAAAAGGAAAAAAUUUAUAGAAGUCUUAAUAUUUUCUAGAAAGAAAACAAAGCGUGGGAGAGGUUCAACACAAGGACUUCCCAGGAGGUCAUCCAUCAAAGUACUACUCUCGCCCAAGAACGCUUAACUGCGGAGUUCUAAUGGGAUCCGGUGCAUUAGUGUUGGUAUGAUCGCACCUGAACGUAAUACGCUCUAGUUGUAUAUAUGUGUUUGUUCGUUGCGAAAAAUAUAAAACUUUGACAGUUAACAAAAAAAUAAAAACAUAUAGAAGUCUUACUAUUUUCUAGAAGAAGAAAAAAGGGAAAAAUUUAUAGAAGUGUUAAUCUUUUCUAGAAGAAGGAAAAAAGGGAAAAUUUUUAUAGAAGUCUUAAUAUUUUCUAGAAAGAAAACAAAGGUAUUUUCAUGAUAAAAAGCAAGCUAUGACCACUCAAUUCAACACCAUACUGUCAGAAGUUAAUCAAAGUUACAAUCUUAGUUUGGUUAAAGGGUCUCCGGCUAUGCUAGAGUAUUAUGUGGCCAAAUUGUUUAACAUACCCUUCAAAGUUAAGAGAAUCACUCCUAUUCAUGGAACUUCUUGGAAGCCUCCAAGUGUUGGAGUUUUAAAACUUAAUUGUGAUGGUUCUUCAAUUGGCAGUCAACCUUGUGGUUCAAUUGGUAUUGUUAUCAGAGACUCAGAUUCCAAUUUUCUUGGGGCUAUCUGCAGCAACACUGGUCAUGCAACACCUCUUGAGGCUGAGUUCAGUGCCUGCAUGCUUGCCAUUGAAAGAGCUCAACACAUGGGUCUUACUAAUAUAUGCUUAGAAACUGAUUCUUUGCAAGUGGUUAAUGCUUUCAGGACUAAGAUGGGGGCUCCUUGGAAGAUGAGAGCCAGAUGGUUCAAUUGCUUAAAGUUUUGCUCUGGCAUUAUUUGUUCUUUUGUUCACAUUCCUAGAGAAGGAAACAUGGUAGCUGAUGCUAUAGCCAAAAAUGGACAGGGUCUAUCUCUCUAUUCCACACAGUGGUGGUCUUUCCCACCAUCCUUCAUUAAUUCUCUUCUCUUAAGAGACAGUCUUGGACUUUCUUUUUCUAGAUUAGCUUGAUUUUUCUUGUCCUCCUUGUUGGUUUUAGGAGGAUCUUGUAUUGUUUGUUUGUGUUGGCUUUGCUUUUUUGAUUUGGUUUCAGGGUUUCUCUUGGGGGUUCUUUGUAUUGCUUGUAUUCUUUGUUCUGAUGCUUUGGUGAUUGUAUUCGGUUCAGCCCUCUCCUGAUCUUUUAUAAAAUCAAGCUUUAUCAAAAAAAAAGAAAGAAAACAAAGGGUGGGAGAGGUUAAACACAAGGACUUCCCAGGAGGUCACCCAUCCUAGUACUACUCUCGCCCAAGCACGCUUAACUGCAGAGUUCUAAUGGGAUCCGGUGCAUUAGUGCUGAUAUGAUCGCACCUGAAAGUAAUACGCUCUAAUUGUAUAUAUGUGUUUGUUCGUUGCGAAAAAUAUAAAGCUUCGACAAUUAACAAAAAAAUAAAAACAUAUAAAAGUCUUACUUUUUUCUAGAAGAAGAAAAAAAGGGAAAAAUUUAUAGAAGUGUUAAUUUUUUCUAGAAGAUGAAAAAAAGGAAAAAAUUUAUAGAACUCUUAAUAUUUUCUAGAAAACAAAGCGUGGGAGAGGUGCAACACAAGGACUUUCCAGGAGGUCACCCAUCCUAGUACUACUCUCGCCCAAGAACGCUUAACUGCGGAGUUCUAAUGGGAUCCGAUGCAUUAGUGCUGGUAUGAUUGCACCUGAACGUAAUACGCUCUAAUUGUAUAUAUGUGUUUGUUCGUUGCGAAAAAUAUAAAACUUCGACAGUUAACAAAAAAAUAAAAACAUAUAGAAGUCUUACUAUUUUCUAGAAGAAGAAAAAAGGGAAAAAUUUAUAGAAGUGUUAAUAUUUUCUAGAAGAAGAAAAAAAGGGAAAAAUUUAUAGAAGUCUUAAUAUUUUCUAGAAAGAAAACAAAGGUAUUUUCAUGAUAAAAAGCAAGCUAUGACCACUCAAUUCAACACCAUACUGUCAGAAGUUAAUCAAAGUUACAAUCUUAGUUUGGUUAAAGGGUCUCCGGCUAUGCUAGAGUAUUAUGUGGCCAAAUUGUUUAACAUACCCUUCAGAGUUAAGAGAAUCACUCCUAUUCAUGGAACUUCUUGGAAGCCUCCAAGUGUUGGAGUUUUAAAACUUUAUUGUGAUGGUUCUUCAAUUGGCAGUCAACCUUGUGGUUCAAUUGGUAUUGUUAUCAGAGACUCAGAUUCCAAUUUUCUUGGGGCUAUCUGCAGCAACAUUGGUCAUGCAACACCUCUUGAGGCUGAGUUCAGUGCCUGCAUGCUUGCCAUUGAAAGAGCUCAACACAUGGGUCUUACUAAUAUAUGCUUAGAAACUGAUUCUUUGCAAGUGGUUAAUGCUUUCAGGACUAAGAUGGGGGCUCCUUGGAAGAUGAGAGCCAGAUGGUUCAAUUGCUUAAAGUUUUGCUCUGGCAUUAUUUGUUCUUUUGUUCACAUUCCUAGAGAAGGAAACAUGGUAGCUGAUGCUAUAGCCAAAAAUGGACAGGGUCUGUCUCUCUAUUCCACACAGUGGUGGUCUUUCCCACCAUCCUUCAUUAAUUCUCUUCUCUUAAGAGACAGUCUUGGACUUUCUUUUUCUAGAUUAGCUUGAUUUUUCUUGUCCUCCUUGUUGGUUUUAGGAGGAUCUUGUAUUGUUUGUUUGUGUUGGCUUUGCUUUUUUGAUUUGGUUUCAGGGUUUCUUUUGGGGGUUCUUUGUAUUGCUUGUUUUCUUUGUUCUGAUGCUCUGGUGAUUGUAUUCGGUUCAGCCUUCUCCUGAUCUUUUAUAUAAUCUAGCUUUAUCAAAUAAAAUAAAAAAACAAAGGGUGGGAGAGGUUAAACACAAGGACUUCCCAGGAGGUCACCCAUCCUAGUACUACUCUCGCCCAAGCACGCUUAACUGCAGAGUUCUGAUGGGAUCCGGUGCAUUAGUGCUGAUAUGAUCGCACCUGAAAGUAAUACGCUCUAAUUGUAUAUACGUGUUUGUUCGUUGCGAAAAAUAAAAAACUUCGACAAUUAACAAAAAAAUAAAAACAUAUAGAAGCCUUACUAUUUUCUAGAAGAAGAAAAAAAGGAAAAAAUUUGUAGAAGUGUUAAUUUUUUCUAGAAGAAGGAAAAAAGGAAAAUAUUUAUAGAAGUCUUAUAUUUUCAAGAAAGAAAAAAAAAAUGGUGGGAGAGGUGCAACACAAGGACUUCCCAGGAGGUCACCCAUCCUAGUCCUACUCUCGCCCAAGAAUGAUGGGAUCCAGUGCAUUAGUGUUGGUAUGAUCGCACCUGAAAGUAAUACACUCUAAUUGUAUAUAUGUGUUUGUUCGUUGCGAAAAAUAUAAAACUUCGACAAUUAACAAAAAAAUAAAAACAUAUAAAAGUCUUACUUUUUUCUAGAAGAAGAAAAAAAGGGAAAAAUUUAUAGAAGUGUUAAUUUUUUCUAGAAGAAGAAAAAAAGGAAAAUUUUUAUAGAAGUCUUAAUAUUUUCUAGAAAGAAAACAAAGCGUUGGAGAGGUUCAACACAAGGACUUCCCAGGAGGUCAUCCAUCCAAGUACUACUCUCGCCCAAGAACGCUUAACUGCGGAGUUCUAAUGGGAUCCGGUGCAUUAGUGCUGAUAUGAUCGCACCUGAACGUAAUACGUUCUAGUUGUAUAUAUGUGUUUAUUCGUUGCGAAAAAUAUAAAACUUUGACAGUUAACAAAAAAAUAAAAACAUAUAGAAGUCCUACUAUUUUCUAGAAGAAUAAAAAAGGGAAAAAUUUAUAGAAGUGUUAAUCUUUUCUAGAAGAAGAAAAAAAGGGAAAAAUUUAUAGAAGUCUUAACAUUUUCUAGAAAGAAAACAAAGGUAUUUUCAUGAUAAAAAGCAAGCUAUGACCACUCAAUUCAACACCAUACUGUCAGAAGUUAAUCAAAGUUACAAUCUUAGUUUGGUUAAAGGGUCUCCGGAUAAGCUAGAGUAUUAAGUGGCCAAAUUGUUUAACAUACCCUUCAAAGUUAAGAGAAUCACUCCUAUUCAUGGAACUUCUUGGAAGCCUCCAAGUGUUGGAGUUUUAAAACUUAAUUGUGAUGGUUCUUCAAUUGGCAGUCAACCUUGUGGUUCCAUUGGUAUUGUUAUCAUAGACUCAGAUUCCAAUUUUCUUGGGGCUAUCUGCAGCAACAUUGGUCAUGCAACACCUGUUGAGGCUGAGUUCAGUGCCUGCAUGCUUGCCAUUGAAAGAGCUCAACACAUGGGUCUUACUAAUAUAUGCUUAGAAACUGAUUCUUUGCAAGUGGUUAAUGCUUUCAGGACUAAGAUGGGGGCUCCUUGGAAGAUGAGAGCCAGAUGGUUCAAUUGCUUAAAGUUUUGCUAUGGCAUUAUUUGUUCUUUUGUUCACAUUCCUAGAGAAGGAAACAUGGUAGCUGAUGCUAUAGCCAAAAAUGGACAGGGUCUAUCUCUCUAUUCCACACAAUGGUGGUCUUCCCCACCAUCCUUCAUUAAUUCUCUUCUCUUAAGAGACAGUCUUGGUCUUUCUUUUUCUAGAUUAGCUUGAUUUUUCUUGUCCUCCUUGUUGGUUUUAGGAGGAUCUUGUAUUGUUUGUUUGUGUUGGCUUUGCUUUUUUGAUUUAGUUUCAGGGUUUCUUUUGGGGGUUCUUUGUAUUGCUUGUAUUCUUUGUUCUGAUGCUUUGGUGAUUGUAUUCGGUUCAGCCCUCUCCUGAUCUUUUAUAUAAUCUAGCUUUAUAAAAAAAAAAAAAAAAACAAAGGGUGGGAGAGGUUAAACACAAGGACUUCCAAGGAGGUCACCCAUCCUAGUACUACUCUCGUCCAAGCACGCGUAACUGCGGAGUUCUGAUGGGAUCCGGUGCAUUAGUGCUGAUAUGAUCGCACCUGAAAGUAAUACGCUCUAAUUGUAUAUAUGUGUUUGUUCGUUGCGAAAAAUAUAAAACUUCGACAAUUAACAAAAAAAUAAAAACAUAUAGAAGUCUUACUAUUUUCUAGAAGAAGAAAAAAAGGGAAAAAUUUAUAGAAGUGUUAAUUUUUUCUAGAAGAAGGAAAAAAGGAAAAUAUUUAUAGAAGUCUUAAUAUUUUCAAGAAAGAAAAAAAAAAUGGUGGGAGAGGUGCAACACAAGGACUUCCCAGGAGGUCACCCAUCCUAGUACUACUCUCGCCCAAGAAUGAUGGGAUCCAGUGCAUUAGUGUUGGUAUGAUCGCACAUGAAAGUAAUACGCUCUAAUUGUAUAUAUGUGUUUGUUCGUUGCGAAAAAUAUAAAACUUCGACAAUUAACAAAUAAAUAAAAACAUAUAACAGUCUUACUUUUUUCUAGAAGAAGAAAAAAAGGCAAAAAUUUAUAGAAGUGUUAAUUUUUUCUAGAAGAUGAAAAAAAGGAAAAAAUUUAUAGAAGUCUUAAUAUUUUCUAGAAAACAAAGCGUGAGAGAGGUGCAACACAAGGACUUUCCAGGAGGUCACCCAUCCUGGUACUACUCUCGCCCAAGCACGCUUAACUGCGGAGUUCUGAUUGGAUCCGGUGCAUUAGUACUUGUAUGAUCGCACUUGAAAAUCAUACUCUCUAAUUGCAUAUAUGUGUUUGUUCGUUGCGAAAAAUAUAAAACUUCGACAAUUAACAAAAAAUAAAAACAUAUAGAAGUCUUACUAUUUUCUAGAAGAAGAAAAAAAGGGAAAAAUUUAUAGAAGUAUUAAUUUUUUCUACAAGAAGGAAAAAAAGAAAAAUAUUUAUAGAAGUCUUAAUAUUUUCUAGAAAGAAAAAAAAUGGUGGGAGAGGUGCAACAAAAGGACCUCCCAGGAGGCCACCCAUCCUAGUACUACUCUCGCCCAAGCACGCUUAAUUGCUGAGUUCUGAUGGGAUCCGGUGCAUUAGUGCUGGUAUGAUCGCACCUGAAAGUAAUACGCUCAAAUUGUAUAUAUGUGUUUGUUCGUUGCGAAAAAUAUAAAGCUUCGACAAUUAACAAAAAAAUAAAAACAUAUAGAAGUCUUACUAUUUUCUAGAAAAAGAAAAAAAGGGAAAAAUUUAUAGAACUGUUAAUUUUUUCUAGAAGAAGUAAAAAACGGAAAAUCUUUAUAGACGUCUUAAUAUUUUCUAGAAAGAAAAAAAAAUGGUGGGAGAGGUGCAACACAAGGACUUCCUAGGAGGACACCCAUCCUUGUACUACUCUCGCCCAAGCACGCUUAAUUGCUGAGUUCUGAUGGGAUCCGGUGCAUUAGUGCUGGUAUGAUCGCACCUGAAAGUAAUACGCUCUAAAUGUAUAUAUGUGUUUGUUCGUUGCGAAAAAUAUAAAGCUUCGACAAUUAACAAAAAAAUAAAAACAUAUAGAAUUCUUACUAUUUUCUAGAAGAAGAAAAAAAGGAAAAAAUUUAUAGAAGUGUUAAUUUUUUCUAGAAGAAGGAAAAAAAGGAAAAUAUUUAUAGAAGUCUUAAUAUUUUCUAGAAAGAAAAAAAAUGGUGGGAGAGGUGCGACACAAGGACUUCCCAGGAGGACGAUGGCAAUGGGUACCCAAUGGGUAGGGUACUACAGUGCCCGUCCCCAUACCCGCAUUUAUAAAAAAUACCCGUACCCGUGCCCGUACCCUCGUGGGCAACAACUUUAGUCCCCUUCCCCAUACCCUAUGGGUACCUCAGUGCCCAUACCCGCAUCCAUUACCCGCACUUUAACUAUGAAAAAAAAAAAUCACAAAUGAAAUAAAACUACGAUCCCAAUUUUUUAAAAUUAACUCAUAAAAUAAUAUGAAUCGUGGUAUUUAGUCAAAUAGAAAACAUCCAAAAUAUCCCUAAAAAAUUAUACACCGGCAUAAUGGAGUUGUUAUUGUAUUAAGCAGUUGUUUGGUUUAAGUUUAGGUUUAAGCUGAAAUAGCUAAAUAAAUUAAUUAAUUAUACAUAAAAAAAAAAUAAUAAUUUAUGAUAUAUUAUAUAAAUAUGUAUAUGCGGGUUGCGGGUCUGGGUAAUAUAGUACCCUUACCCGUGCCCGUACCCAUUUAAUUUUGUGGGUAUUACCCGUACCCGUGUCCAGAUCCAUAAAAGCGGGUUUUUACCCUACCCAUUGUGGAUAUUUUUUGUGGGUAUCCAUUGGAUCUGGGUCCAAUUGCCAUCCCUAGAGGACACCCAUCCUAGUACUACUCUCGCCCAAGCACGCUUAAUUGCUGAGUUCUGAUGGGAUCUGGUGCAUUAGUGCUGAUAUGAUCGCACCUGAAAGCAAUACGCUCUUAUUGUAUAUAUGUGUUUGUUUGUUGCGAAAAAUAUAAAGCUUCGACAAUUAACAAAAAAAUAAAAACAUAUAGAAGUCUUACUAAUUUCUAGAAGAAGAAAAAAAGGGUAAAAUUUAUAGAAGUGUUAAUAUUUUCUAGAAGAAGGAAAAAAAUGAAAAUAUUUAUAGAAGUCUUAAUAUUUUCUAGAAAGAAAAAAAAAUGGUGGGAGAGGUGCAACACAAGGACUUCUCAGGAGGACACCCAUCCUCGUACUACUCUCGCCCAAGCACGGUUAAUUGCUGAGUUCUGAUGGAAUCCGGUGCAUUAGUGCUGGUAUGAUCACACCUGAAAGUAAUACGCUCUAAAUGUAUAUAUGUGUUUGUUCGUUGCGAAAAAUAUAAAGCUUCGACAAUUAACAAAAAAAUAAAAACAUAUAGAAUUCUUACUAUUUGCUAGAAGAAGAAAAAAAGGGAAAAAUUUAUAGAAGUGUUAAUUUUUUCUAGAAGAAGGAAAAAAAGGAAAAUAUUUAUAGAAGUCUUAAUAUUUUCUAGAAAGAAAAAAAAUGGUGGGAGAGGUGCAACAAAAGGACCUCCCAGGAGGCCACCCAUCCUAGUACUACUCUCGCCCAAGCACGCUUAAUUGCUGAGUUCUGAUGGGAUCCGGUGCAUUAGUGCUGGUAUGAUCGCACCUGAAAGUAAUACGCUCAAAUUGUAUAUAUGUGUUUGUUCGUUGCGAAAAAUAUAAAGUUUCGACAAUUAACAAAAAAAUAAAAACAUAUAGAAGUCUUACUAUUUUCUAGAAAAAGAAAAAAAGGGAAAAAUUUAUAGAACUGUUAAUUUUCUCUAGAAGAAGUAAAAAAAGGAAAAUCUUUAUAGACGUCUUAAUAUUUUCUAGAAAGAAAAAAAAAUGGUGGGAGAGGUGCAACACAAGGACUUCCUAGGAGGACACCCAUCCUUGUACUACUCUCGCCCAAGCACGCUUAAUUGCUGAGUUCUGAUGGGCUCCGGUGCAUUAGUGCUGGUAUGAUCGCACCUGAAAGUAAUACGCUCUAAAUGUAUAUAUGUGUUUGUUCGUUGCGAAAAAUAUAAAGCUUCGACAAUUAACAAAAAAAUAAAAACAUAUAGAAUUCUUACUAUUUUCUAGAAGAAGAAAAAAAGGAAAAAAUUUAUAGAAGUGUUAAUUUUUUCUAGAAGAAGGAAAAAAAGGAAAAUAUUUAUAGAAGUCUUAAUAUUUUCUAGAAAGAAAAAAAAUGGUGGGAGAGGUGCGACACAAGGACUUCCCAGGAGGACGAUGGCAAUGGGUACCCAAUGGGUAGGGUACUACAGUGCCCGUCCCCAUACCCGCAUUUAUAAAAAAUACCCGUACCCGUGCCCGUACCCUCGUGGGCAACAACUUUAGUCCCCUUCCCCAUACCCUAUGGGUACCUCAGUGCCCAUACCCGCAUCCAUUACCCGCACUUUAACUAUGAAAAAAAAAAUAUCACAAAUGAAAUAAAACUACGAUCCCAAUUUUUUAAAAUUAACUCAUAAAAUAAUAUGAAUCGUGGUAUUUAGUCAAAUAGAAAACAUCCAAAAUAUCCCUAAAAAAUUAUACACCGGCAUAAUGGAGUUGUUAUUGUAUUAAGCAGUUGUUUGGUUUAAGUUUAGGUUUAAGCUGAAAUAGCUAAAUAAAUUAAUUAAUUAUACAUAAAAAAAAUAAUAAUAAUUUAUGAUAUAUUAUAUAAAUAUGUAUAUGCGGGUUGCGGGUCUGGGUAAUAUAGUACCCUUACCCGUGCCCGUACCCAUUUAAUUUUGUGGGUAUUACCCGUACCCAAGUCCAGAUCCAUAAAAGCGGGUUUUUACCCUACCCAUUGUGGAUAUUUUUUGUGGGUAUCCAUUGGAUCUGGGUCCAAUUGCCGUCCCUAGAGGACACCCAUCCUAGUACUACUCUCGCCCAAGCACGCUUAAUUGCUGAGUUCUGAUGGGAUCUGGUGCAUUAGUGCUGAUAUGAUCGCACCUGAAAGCAAUACGCUCUUAUUGUAUAUAUGUGUUUGUUUGUUGCGAAAAAUAUAAAGCUUCGACAAUUAACAAAAAAAUAAAAACAUAUAGAAGUCUUACUAAUUUCUAGAAGAAGAAAAAAAGGGUAAAAUUUAUAGAAGUGUUAAUAUUUUCUAGAAGAAGGAAAAAAAUGAAAAUAUUUAUAGAAGUCUUAAUAUUUUCUAGAAAGAAAAAAAAAUGGUGGGAGAGGUGCAACACAAGGACUUCUCAGGAGGACACCCAUCCUCGUACUACUCUCGCCCAAGCACGGUUAAUUGCUGAGUUCUGAUGGAAUCCGGUGCAUUAGUGCUGGUAUGAUCACACCUGAAAGUAAUACGCUCUAAAUGUAUAUAUGUGUUUGUUCGUUGCGAAAAAUAUAAAGCUUCGACAAUUAACAAAAAAAUAAAAACAUAUAGAAUUCUUACUAUUUGCUAGAAGAAGAAAAAAAGGGAAAAAUUUAUAGAAGUGUUAAUUUUUUCUAGAAGAAGGAAAAAAAGGAAAAUAUUUAUAGAAGUCUUAAUAUUUUCUAGAAAGAAAAAAAAUGUGGGGAGAGGUGCAACACAAGAACUUCCCAGGAGGUCACCCAUCCUAGAACUACUCUCGCCCAAGCACAAUUAACUGCGGAGUUCUGAUGGGAUCCGGUGCAUUAGUGCUGGUAUGAUCGCACCUAUAAGUAAUACGCUUUAAUUGUAUAUAUGUGUUUGUUCGUUGCGAAAAAUAUAAAACUUCGACAAUUAACAAAAAAAUAAAAACAUAUAGAAGUCUUACUAUUUUCUAGAAGAAGAAAAAAAGGGAAAAAUUUAUAGAAGUGUUAAUUUUUUGUAGCAGAAGGAAAAAAAGGAAAAUAUUUAUAGAAGUCUUAAUAUUUUCUAGAAAGAAAAAAAAUGGUGGGAGAGGUGCAACACAAGGACUUCCCAGGAGGUCAUCCAUCCUAGUACUACUCUCGCCCAAGCACAAUUAACUGCGGAGUUCUGAUGGGAUCCGGUGCAUUAGUGAUGGUAUGAUCACACCUGAAAGUAAUACGCUCUAAUUGUAUAUAUGUGUUUGUUCGUUGCGAAAAAUAUAAAGCUUCGACAAUUAACAAAAAAAUAAAAAUAUAUAGAAGUCUUACUAUUUUCUAGAAGAAGAAAAAAAGGGAAAAAUUUAUAGAAGUGUUAAUUUUUUCUAGAAGAAGGAAAAAAAGGAAAAUAUUUAUAGAAGUCUUAAUAUUUUCUAGAAAGAAAAAAAAAUGGUGGGAGAGGUGCAACACAAGGACUUCCCAGGAGGUCACCCAUCCUAGUACUACUCUCGCCCAAGCACGAAAUCUUCUGGUCAGAAACGCCAUCUCUUCCGCAUCUGAACCACUGUUUGAUUCUCCAUCAGGAUUCUUUUCUUAGGAUUCAACAUCUUGAAUAGCUUCAACAUAUUAUCCUUUAGAUUCCAUAGCAAUGGAUCUGGACUUCUUAGAAGAUUAAUCUCCAAUAAGCUAUAUCACAUGAAUUUUGAGAGAACUUAUCAGAUUCUUCAGGCUUAGCUUGUUCAAAUCCUUUGCUUCCUGAAUGGUUGUAACCUUUGAUCUGAACCUAGCAGGAAGAUUCCGAAGAAUCUUUUUGACAUGGUCAGGAAUAGUAUAAAUUUUAUUCUGAACCUGAAGGACAAAUACAAGAGUCUGAAACCUUGAAUACAUGGUUUCAAUAUCUUCAUCCUCCCUCAUUUUAAAAAGAUCAUAUUGAUGAACCAAUUGGUUAGCAUUAUCUUGCUUCCCUUGUUGGUUUACUUCAUAUGUAGAACACGAUAACUAAAAUAUGACUUUAUCAGUAGAUUUGUCAAUAAUCUUGGUUUACUCUGAAUAAGGCAAAGCUUCCACCAGAAUACCACAGACUCUAUGAUGCUUCAUGCAUAUCUUCCUCUGAGCCUCAAUCGGUUUCUUCUUAUCCACCACCAUACCUUAUGAGUCCACAACAAAUCCCACACCAUCUUCAAUGAUGUCCAACAACUCAUCAUCAACUCCUAUGAUGUGGAUGUGCAUUGCUUUUCCACCAUGAGAACUAAGUAGCAUAUCCAUUGAAAGAUGGAGGUCUUACAAAAUAAUUGUUAUUCUAUGAGGUAGAAGUAUUAUUGUUGUAAUCAUACUAUACUUGAGCACCAUGAGUGCUAAAACCAGAACUAACGCUGAGGUUAGGUUCAGAAGAUGAGAAAAACACGGGGGGGGGGGGGGGGGGGGGGGGGAAGAAAGACACAACAAUUGUAAUGGUUCCUCUCACAAACCUAGAGCAGUUCAGUCCUCUUGUACUCCCAAUGGAUUUUCACUAUAAUUACUAAGGUUACAAAUGCUCAAGCACAUAAGCAAAAUACUUCAAAAUGCUCAAAACACACAAGCAAGAGACUUGAAAAUGCUAAAAGACUUCUUAUAAUCUAGCUUAAUCAAAUAAAGAUUGUUCAGUUUUACACUUUAUAUACAAUCAAAGGUGUAAACAAUUACAAAACAAAGUAAGACUCUUAAGACUUUAAAAUUUCUAAGAUAUGAAAUUCUUAAGUGUUUAUAUGCUUUUCAAUUUGGCAGAGUAAUGAAACUUGUAAAUAUUGCAGAGUCUUGCUCAUUUCUUGAAGUCUUAAGCUCCUUAUAUAGAGAAGGAAAUAAGAGACGUUGGAGAACUGUCAACGCAUAAAUUAGAGUUUUUGAGAAGCUUGAUCAUGAACGUUGGAAUAUUUCUUGAUUUGGUUAAUGUUGUUGGAACGACAUUUGAAAUUCCUUUGCUUCAAAAGGAAUUAUCUGUUCAAUCCAAUUGUCUUUGAAGUUCUUUUUCUGUUUCUGCACAUGGUUACAAGAAGACAAAGUGUACUAUCUGAUUUUGAUGAUGGCAUCUUCAGAGGACGACAAGUCUGAAAUGUCCUUUAGAGCAUCUCCAAUGGGGGUCCUUACUUAACAAGGACCAGUCCCCGUUAAGGACCCUUCAUUGAAGGAAGAAAAAAUUAGUCCUCGUUAUGGAACGAGCAACUAUAUAAGGACUCUCUCUCUCCUGAGUAAUGAACGGGUCCCAAGUAUAAAAAAGUAAUAUAAUGUGUACUACUUGGUCCCACUUGCAUAUAGGAGUAAUAAAAUGUGUACUACUUGGUCCCACUUGUAAAAAGGAAUAAUAUGUAAAUUAUUUUUGUUUAAUGAUGUAAAGAUAGUGAGACAUAUUUAAGUAUUUUUCAUUGGAGUCCUUAUUAGUGUAUUGUCAUUGGAGUCAUUGAGUCUUUUAAUAAGUACUUUUAUUAAAAAAAUUAUAAAUAAGUGAUUUGUCACGUGGGGUCCAUUUAAGGAUUCCUUAUUAGGGAACUACCAUUGUGGAUGCUCUCAGAGACUUCAUAUUUCAUAAUCCAGAGUCUGGUGUUCUUCAUAUUCUGUUUCAGAACUUUAGCUUCUCUUUCAAUUCCAAUUGCUCUUGUAUACGUUCUUCCAUAACCAAAACUUGAUUUUACUUUAUAAGUUUAGUCUAUGAUCAUGCACAUUUGAAGAUAUAUUAGCAUAUAUUAACAUUUUAAUAUCUAUUAUCAUCAAAACUUCAUAAACAUUGUAUAAACCCAUUUUGUUCAACAAUUUAUUUAAGGAGGGCCACCCCUAGUUAUUGUUGUUUUGUAGCAUUAAUGGAUACAACAGGACAAGGUCAUGAGUAAAUCCUGCAAAUCUGGGAAGGAAGGACAAUUAUAAGUACGUACUUUGUAGUUUCUGAAUUUUGACUAAGAUGUUUUAUAGUCCACACGUUUUGAAGUAAUCACUAAUUGCCCAUACCUUCGCUGCCAUGCAUCAAUCUAUUAAAAUAUUCGUAUAGUGUUAUUCGUAUUACUAUUUCUCAACUCAAUUUGAUGGUGUUUUUAUUACUUCAAAUCAAAAACCAGCUGGCUUAACGCGUUUAUGAUGACGAUUCGCACAUUACUCAUUUAUGUGUCUUUUUUUCUUAUCCACUAGUAAUAUUCUACUGCACAUACUUGCUACAAAACAAAACCAAAAAAAUAAUAAAAUUUCGAAAAUUUUCAAUGAAAUGGUAAGAUUUUGUUAAUUUCUCCUUUUCUUUUCUAGAUACAUGAUAAAGAUUUGAUGAAUAAUAUUUGUUUUUUUUUAUUUGGAGUUUGAAUCUCAAACCUUGCAUAUAUUAUGCAUUGUUCAUACCAAUUGAACUAAGUUUAUGAGGACACUAAAAAUCUGAAUCCUUCGCAUACAUUAUGCAUUGUUCAUACCGAUUGAACUAAGCUCACGAGGACAUAAAUAACAUUAGUUUAUUGAGAAAUAAUAAUUUUCAACAUUUUAAGAAAUAAAUUCGUACAAUUUUCAAUACAUAAUUUUUAUUUUUGCUAUUUUUUCUAGUGUACUAUUUUUUAUAUAUUAACAUAUGCGGUAAGAACACGUGUUAUAUUUUUUUUUUUAUAAUAGUCUCUUAAAUAUUUAACUGUAGAAGAGAAAUAUGUAUAAACAUGAGACAAUAAAUAGUUAAUGGGGCGUAUCAGUUAUGAUUUUAAAUAACUUGUUUUUUUUUUGAAGGAAGGAAAAAAGACUUGUUUACCAUGAAUUUUUUUUAGGGUAUUCAAUCAAGACUAUUUAUAACUUAAUUUUUUAUUUUUGUGAUAUUCAAUCAAAUAUUUUUGUAAUUUAAAAAAAAAAAUCAUGUGGUAUUCAAUCAAAACUCCUUGUAACUUAUAAAAGGUCUCGUGAUAUUCAAAAACAUUUUAAUUUUGAGAGAUUGUUUUUCUUUUUAGAGAAUUUUUUUUGAGAGAUUGUUUAAUAAGUUGAAUUUUGGUGGAUUUUGUGGGAAUAUUUAGUGAAUUUUCAGCAUAAAAAAAUCUUACAUUAAAACACAAGAUUUCUAUUUCUUUUAAGAUUUUACCCCCCCUCACCUCCCUCCCUCCCUCUCUCUCACUUAAAAAAACACAAAUAAAAGAGUGAAUAUUGAAAAUAUUGUGAAAUCAUAAAGUCAUUUACAAUCUUAUAAAUCCAUAAAGUCAUUUCAAAUCAUUUAAACAGAUAUAAAUCUUUUAAAAUCCAAAUCGUAAAUCUUCAUAGUCUUUUAAAAUCUUAAAUGUCAUUAAAAUCUUGUAAAAUCUUUAAAAUCGAAAAUAUUUUUUUAAACAAAAAUGUUUUUUAAAAUCCUAAUCCAAUAUAUUUGGACCGUCAAUAUAUUUCUAAGGGCUAGAAUACCCUCUAGAAAGUCUUAGGCACUCUCCCGAAAUGCUCCGGAAUAGGCGCGCCCUUCCAGAGGCGCCACCUCAACAAGCUUCUAGAAGCAUCUAGAGCUUAGUGAUGACACUAGGUCAUACAUCAUUUUGUUACAGUUUUUAUGUAGUUUUAGUCAAGUUCAGGUGAUUAUGCAUGAGUCAGAAGCUGAAAAAUGACUGUUUUGUAAUUCUGAAGAUGAGAAAAAUCGUACUCCGAUUUGGUGACAUCGUAGUACGAUUUUGAAGCUGAAGUUUGACAUGUUGUCUCGUAAAAAAUCGGAGUCCGAUUUCCCAAAAAUCGGGCUACGAUUUGAAGACGCUUCUGUGCUAGAUUUGUGUUGAGUGGGCCAUCGUGCUCCGAUCUGGAGCAUCGGAGUAAGAUUUUAGCGUUUAUGGGAAAUGUCCUAUAAAAAGGAAGUCGAUUUAUGAAGGAAGGGUUCAAAAUUUUGGAGAGAAAAUCAUACUUUUGGAGCUGGAUCACUGAGCAAAAGGUGGGAGACCAUCAAAACUCAUAGCCGGUUAUCAAUUUCAUGUAAUGAAUUCUUCUUUAUCAUUAGUUAUUUAUGCUUUAGCCAUGAGUAACUAAAUCCUUUGUGAUUAGGUCAAGAGAUGAUUUUGUACUAGCUCAUGUGGAUGUAACCUGAUACUCUUACGUUUAUGAAUGUCAAUAUAGUUUAUUCAGUGUAUCUUGUUCUUAAUGCUUUUAUGAUUCUGACCCAAUAUAAUUGAUUCAAGAGAUUAUAUGACUAUUAACCGUAGUGUGUAACUCGAAUAUAUUUAUGUUGUUCAAUCUAACAGACAAUCUAGGAAUAGAGCGUUGUUAGGUUGUUAUAAUUGAAUUAACGGACUUAAUAUCCUUUGACGAUUAUAGGUUCACCUAAGGAAUUAGGGAAUUAUGAUUAGAUAAGCGGACUUAGGAUCAAGGGAUUGACCUAAGUUAAUGUGUUAAUUCGUCGUUUACUUUGUGACAUUCGUAGACAUCAGAAACAGGUUGCUAAUGAGUGAAGUGCAUAUGAAUGGAAGGACCUAGUCAUCUCUCUAAACUAUAUCUAAAACCAACGUUACUUUCGUCAUUUUAAUUACAAUUGCACACAAAACCAAUUUUGACUAAGGCAACCCCCAAUUUAAUUACAUCUUAAUGUUAAUGUUCUUGUUAAGUAGAGAUUAAAACAGUCCCUGAGGAAACAAAUUAUUUUAUUACUCGAUUCAAAUUAGUACACUUGCUAAUUUUUUAUCACUUAGUAAAAAGACUUAAGGCGCAGCUUACUUGGGGCUUAAGCCACGAGAAAACAAGCCCACAGAGGGCUAUAAAUACACCUCUUGAGAGCAUUCUAAAAACAUCUCAUAAACAGUCUAAACCUAAGAUUCUAUUAUUGUACUCACUGCAAGUACAGUUGGCGCUGUCUGUGGGAAUCGAACCCAUGAACUUUGUACAAGGCUCUAACUUGGUGAAUUCUACUAUCAAGCGAGCCUAAAACGUCAACCUUGUACAAGGCUCUGACUUGGCGAAUUCUACAAUCAAGCAAGCCUAAAACGUCAAUCUUGUACAAGGCUUUGACUUGGCGAAUUCUACAAUCAAACAUCAAACAAGCCUAAAACGUCAACCUUGUACAAGGCUCUAACUUGGCGAAUUCUACAAUCAAGCGAGCCUAAAACGUCAACCUUGUACAAAGCUCUAACUGGGCGAAUUCUACAAUCAAACGAGAUGGCUCAUACAAACAAAUAAACUUUCAAGACCAUAUAUAGUAAAACGAAAAGACCAGAAUUAGAAAAAUUCAAAAAGCCGACAUUCAUAUCGAGAUACUAAGGUAAAAUUGAUAAGGUUACAAGUAAAAUACUAGGGUGUCAUUCAAGGCUUCUAGAAACAUCAAGAAUACUCUGAAAGUAUCCUAUACGAUCGACCUUACAGAUUCAUCACUUCGCCUUGUCCCAAGACGCGUGCUUGGGGGCAGUGGACCGUCAAUAUAUUCCUAAGGGCUCAAAUACCCUCUAUAAAGGCUUAGGCGCCCUCUGAAAAAGCUCCUGAGACCUAGGCGCGCCCUUCUAGAGGCGCCGCCUCAACUAGCUUCUAGAAGCAUCUAGAGCUUAGUAAAAAAACUUAAAACCCAACUUGCUUGGGGCUUAAGUCACAAGAAAACAAGUCCACGGGGGCUAUAAAUACACCUCUUGAGAGCAUUCUCAAGACAUCUCAUAAACAAUAUAGACCCUAGAUUUUAUUAUUGUACUCAGUGCAAGUGCAAUAUUAUCUAGAAAACAAUAAAUUUUAUUAAAAAUAACAAGUUUGUUAAAAAGAUUGUAAUAUAGAAAAAUAAAAAAAUAAAAAUUGUAUUGUAUAUGUAAAUAAUCCAAAAACGGGAAUAAAAAAGAAAGGAGAGGGUUUUAUUUAUUUAUUUAUUUUUGAAUGGAGGGAGUAAUCUUUGCAAUUCUACAUAUUAUUUAGCAAACAAACCUCUAAAAAAAUAUCUGUCAAAAAAAAAAACCUCUAAAAAAUAUAUUUAGUAAACAAAAUAUACAAACAGCUGUAUUUUUACUUUUUAUUGGAUUCGAAUUUGCCAAUUUGCAAUGCAAAUAAGAGAAAUCAGAAAACUCGUUGCAAAAGCGUGCGACCUUGUCAUUUGUCAUGCUUAUGAUCAUGUGACCGUGACUCUCACGACCCAAGGGUAAAAAAUUAGCUGGUUUUUCUCUUUGAUUUGGGAAUAUUCUUUUUAAUGAUAAAUAUUAGGUCAAAUGCAUUUAAAGGUCCUUUAAGUUUUUCGUUUUUCCCAAAGUCGUCCUUUAAGUUUCAAAAGUCACAAACAAGUCCUUUAAGUUUCAAAAGUCUCAAACAAGUCCUUUUAGUUUUUGAAUCGUUUCAAACAAGUCCUUUUAAAGGAUGAUUUAGAUGAAGGCAACAAAGAGCAUUAUCCACCAUUUGUCAUGCCUAAAAAGAUGAUUAAUUUUAAGUGGGUGUUAGGAGCCAGAUUUGGUACCAAAAAUGAGUUCAAGGAAGCAAUUACCAACUAUGCUAUCUACAAUAGGACUUGUUUGAAAUGAUUCAAAAACUAAAAGGACUUGUUUGGGACUUUUGAAGCUUAAAGGACGACUUUGGGAAAAAUGAAAAACUUAAAGGACCUUUAGAUGCAUUUCACCUAAAUAUUAAUAUGCUAGUUGUCAUGUUAGUAUUUCUUUUACUUUGUUAUGAGUUGAACUCCGACCUUUUAACCUCUUAACUCAUUUGAUCCUUUAACUAAGUCAAGUGAGCUAUUCAUUCCUCCGUUUUGGAAACAUUUUAGUAUCUUACUUUGUCUUAAAAAUAAUCGUACUAGAGGAAAAUGUCAAGUGAUAGAGUUGUUGUGUUUCUUUAUAAAAAGAGAAAUGAUAUUUGUACAAUCAUUUGGACUCUCUCUCAUACUUUCAUUGUAUUCUUAAAAGAAGUUGUGGAUAGACCUCUCUCUAGAAAAAAAAAACAGCUCUGCCUUCUCUCCACAUCUCUCAAAACCCUAACAGCUACACCCCAUCCAUACCAAGUCCAAACUUUUCCUUCAUCAUGUAGCAUUAACGCCCCCCCCCCCCCCCCCCCCCAAUAACAUAUAUGAGUAGAUGACAUUGGAUUAGAGUGGAAUGUCAAUUCAGUUGGGACAUCCUUUAAUUGUGUCAUUUUGCUCUUGAUUUAGCACAAAAAAAAAAAAUCAUUGUAUUCUUACUUUCUCUCUCCCUUUCUCUCUAUAUUAUGUUUAUUCCAAAAAGAAAAAAAAAUUGUCUCGAAAGUUGGUACAAAUACCAUUACUCUUAUAUGAUAAAGAUGUUACAUAUUUUUUGUUGUGUGCAAGUGUGAGUUAUAGGUCCCACAUCAAAUAGAAAAGUGAAGGUUCAAUACUUUAUAAGCGAAAGAACUCGCCUCAAGGUUUUGGAUAAAAGUGUGGUGUUUCUCUCACUUGUGUGGUUGCUCGUGCGAAGAUGUGGGGUGGUCCCUCAGGCUCCUCUCGUGAGCCAACAAUGGUAUCAGAGAUGAGUUUCAACGAAGGUUCGACCAACUCCUCGUGUUGAAUUGAAAGUCUUCCUGAUAGAGUGUUCAGGCGGCAAGUUUCAUUGUGAAGGAAGGCGGUACAAGUGCAAGUGUGUGCGGAAGAAAGAACUUCCACUUGAAAGAUUAAGGUUGAUCACUUUAUAAGUGAUAGGACCAAUAACCUUGUUUUAGGUAAAUGUGCGGUGUCUUCCCCGACAUCGUGACCCGAAUAUUUUCUAGAUAAAACUAAAAAUGUCACAUUUUGAUAGUUAAAAUAGUAGAAAUACAAUUUACCAUCUGGAUAAGAGUGUGUUCGGAUAUCAUCAAGUUUGGGUUUAUGUGAGAAAGAAAAGAAAUCGAGUUACAAAUUGAUUGAGUUUUUGGUGCUCCUAAUUUGUUUUUUUUAAUAUUGAAAGCAUUUAAAAAAAUUUAUUUCAUAAUCUAUAUAUAUUGAAUGGUUAAUUUUCCUGUUGUAUUGUAUUAAAUAAUCUAUGAAUUCAUAGAAUAACAGUACCAAGUUAACUAGGAUAUUGAGUAAAAUAUUUAUCAAUAUUUAUUCAAAACCUAACUAAUUUAACACUAUCUUGAUGAAAGGUACAAAUAUGGAAGUUUGCUCUUAAAAAUGAUUGUUAAGAAAUUGCUAAGAACGGACUAAAAAGUUACUUGACAAAAUUAACAGUAAUUGUAUUGUGUUAGUUAGUGUAACCUAACUUACUUGGCUUGAUAAAGUGAUAAACUUCCAACUAAUUGACAAAACGGAGGAUGGAAUUUAUGAGGAGACAAAUCCUAUUAAGCCUAGCUGAUAAGCACAUGUACUGUUAAAAGUUUGCAUGGAACUAGAAUCUACCUAAGUUAAGUGAACAAUUAGGACACUUCUUUUGAUUAUAAUCAUUAUUUACUAACAUGCAUGUUUACAUGACAAGAUUAUCUGAUCGUUGUUAUUGGAAUAGAUCUUCAAUUAUAUAUUAUUUAUUUUUCAGGUACAAAAUAAAAAAACUCCAAUAGAUUUUGAUUAGUAUCUUAAAAUUAUAAUAUAAUGUUGUCUUAUCAUAUUCAUGAACAAAAAUCUAGAGAAAACAAAAAUCAUUUCACAAGCAUAUUCUAUUCAUAAAUUAGAUUACGUGUUUAGAAGCCCUUAAAAAAAUGAUUGUUGCUUAAAAACUAAAAUACACAGUCACCAUUACCGAAAAGCCCAAUUUUCAUGGUUUUUGUACAUUAAUGAAACCACGUAUUAGAGUUAAGGGCUUAAAAUACUCCAAUAGAUUUUUGCUUAAAAACUUAUUUUUAUGGUUUUUGUACAUUAAUGCAAUUAAUAUAAUAUGUUUAACGGAAAUAUUGUAUUUUAUCGACAAUAAAUUAAUCUAAGUGGUAAGAGAUUUGAGUUAUUAAACACGGGAUUAUAAGUUUCCAUGAGCUUAGCUCAAUUGAUAAAAACAAUGGGUAAUAUAUGCAAAGUUCGGGGUUCGACGCCGGACACCACCAAAAAAGAACAAGAGAUUAUAAGUUUAAUCUCUAGCUCUUACAUAUGGAGAAAAAUUGUUUGGGACACAUAAUCCACUUUGUAUGUCCCAUAAAUUUUCUGACGAAGAUAGAUUAUUGUUAAAUGGUGGUAGAAACUUCGUAUUAAUAAAAAAAAAAAAUGUAGUUUUCCUAAAUCUAUUUUAUCAAUUAUUUUUUUAAAAAAAUUCUAAUUAAUUACUUUGGUUAGAAAGGAGAUUAGAAUAAAAGGCAUAGUAAAAAAAUAGUUAAUAGAUAAUUAGUAUUUUAAAAUGGUAUGAAUAAAUAAUGAUACAAAUUUGUUUUUCUAAAAUGACUUAUAACAUGGAUGGAUUUGUUAAAGAUUUAAAGGAUGUCCUAUAAAAUGAGGCAAAUUUCUCAAACGAGUCGUAUUAGAAUGCAAUGUUUUUUUUUUUACACAAACAAAACGAUAUUCAUUUAUUCAAAUUGAGAGUAUAUUAGAUACAAUAACAUGUAUGUUCAACAUCGCUACAAACGUAAAUGGUGAAUCUGCGAACAAACUCACAACACCCAAGUAAUAACAUACAACAGUAAAAUACCUACAAAUAAUAUGAUAAAUUCUAAGUCGCCAAAAUUCUCAUGCUUCCGAAUCUGUAACGUCGACGCUCAAAUCUUUGAUUGAAUCUGUAACUGACUGAAGUUGAUAUUUCAAUAUGAACUAAACGAACACCGCAACAAGACGCAAAAUCAAAAGCUGCACAAAACGAUGAACAACACAACGCCACACUCAGACGACGAAAUCACAAAAAACACAAAAUAGAAAACUUGCUAUGUGUGAAAACCACAUAUGUAAAUUGAAAGAAAGGGGAAAAAGAUGCAGAUGGGUGAUUCUAUGUCAAAAAUGACUUAAUACCACCAUUCCUCAAUGAAUGAAGAAGAAGAAAAACUUAAAAAGAAAAUGUAAUUUCUCUCACUAAAAUAACUAGGACCGGCUUUUAUAGAAUAAAAUGAAAAUUAAAAUCACAUCUCAAAUAUACCACUACCUUUAAAUGGUUUCUAGCAAAACACCUUUAAAAAAGAAUUCUACAAAUCUACCGUCCUUCUAUCUCACAUAUAAGUUAUUUAAGAAAAGUAGUUAACAUUAUAAAAAUUAUGAUUUACUUUCUAAAAUUAGGAGUCAUUAAUUUCAUUAAUAAAGUUUGAAAAAAAAAAUCUUCGUUUACAAAUCUACAAUCCUUCUGAUCUUAUUAUCUCUUUUAUCAUACACUAUUUCAGAUAAUCUAUUUAUAAAGUUUUUAAUAUGGAUGAAAUAGCAUAUGAUAAAAGAUAUAACAAUAAUCAAAAAAAGGAAAAAGAUUAUGUCAAUAAAAACAAGAAUUGCAAAAAGAUAGUAGUAAAUAAUUAACUAUGUAUAUGUUUGGAAUAACGGUGCAAAGUUAAAAAAAACCAUGUUUAACCAAAAGCUGGAAUUUCCAGCUUCAUAAAGUCACGGUAAAAGUGACAUUGGAAAACGUACACCGUAAAAAAUACGUGAUACCAAACAUAACUUAUAUCUCCUAAAAAAUGAUAUAUAAACAAAAGAAAUUGAUUACAUUAUAAAAUGAAAUAACUUUUCCUCAAAAAACUUCAUAUCAUGGAAUAAAAGAAAUAUGAAAAGAACUUAACAAUUAAUUUACCUUAAACUAAAUUCUUUUUAAGACAAAAAAAAUGACAUCAGUUAUUAUAGAUCCGGAUGACUAUGAUAUGUGCUUAUUCAACAUCAUUUUCAAAGUAGAAUCCAGUGGGAUCCACCAAAAUUUCCAGCUAGAUCCAGUGCUACACAAACAGUUCACACUCUUUCACAAACCAUAUACACUCCAUCUUAGUGUCUACAUAAACCCCCACACACAACCUCAAUAUUCAACACCAUUAAACCACAACACUCACAAAAAUCUCAUCACUCAAUUUUCCUUUUUCUCAUUUCUCAUGUCCAUCACAAAGGAAUCUGAAUCUCAAUCUCAAGCAGAAGCUCGACCCGGCUCGAUAACAAAACGAAGCUCGAGAAAAGGUGACUCCGUAUUUCACGGAGUCAGGAAACGUAGCUGGGGACGCUACGUUUCUGAGAUAAGGCUGCCAGGUCAGAAGACUCGAAUAUGGCUUGGAUCAUUCGAGUCAGCUGAAAUGGCAGCCCGUGCUUAUGACUCAGCAGCUUUUUUCUUGAAAGGAAAUUCAGCUAGCCUUAAUUUUCCUGAAGAAGUUGAGUUUCUACCACGUCCUCUUUCUUCUUCUAGGAGAGAUAUUCAAUCUGCUGCUUCUAAAGCAGCUCAUCAACGAAGCCACCACCAUCAACAACAAGAAGAACAAUUACGUGGAGUUACACCUUCUUCUUCUUCUUCAACAAGAAUGAAUGAAAAUAAUAUUAUCAAUAAUAGUGAUGAUAAUAUUAUUAGUGGAAAUAAUAAUGUUAAUGAUUUUUCCAUUGAGAUGAUGGAAUGGUGGAAAGAAGAAGAGUGUGUUUCGACGACGUCGUUUUGGGAUGUGGAAGAUGCUCCUCUAAUGAGCCCAACAAGGGUGGGGUCCAUUUUUGGAGAUAUGAUGACAUGGAACGAAGUGUUCAAUUUCAAUGAUGAUAAUUCUUUAGUAUAUGUACCGUAGUUUCUUUCUUUUUAUUUUAUAUUUUGUCGAUGUUACUACAACUCUUGCAAGUUGCAAAUUAGCAAUUAGUUGUAAGAAAAUGUAUAUAAAAAACUCUUGAUAGUGAAUACAUCACUUUAGUAAACAAUAAUGUGAACACAUCGCUGUCGUUUUCUUUUUCUUUUGCAUCCUGUGAUUCAGUUUUGUAGUCAAAAUUUACUUGUUUCAAAUCUCAUGAAAUUUAGUUUUGUAAGCGGAAAUUUAGUUGGGGAAAUGCACAUCGUCCCACCUACCUAUAGGGUAUCAACAACUAUAGUCACAGACAAGACAAUGUGACUCAAUUCACUGAUUGAAAAUUUCGCGAAUACAUAAAGAAUCUGAAGAUCAAACAACACUUCACUUAUGUCGAGCCUCCCCAAACAAACGAGCAAGUUGAAUCAUCUAAUCGAGUCAUCUAUCGAGGAUUACAACGAAGAUUAUACGACGUGAAGGGAACUAGGUCGAGGAAUCGCACAGUGUGUUAUAGGCGUACCACACCACUCCUCAUUCAACCACAGGAGAAUCCCCUUUCUGCCUAACAUAUGGAAAGGAAAUUGUCAUACCUAUCGAACUAGAUAUACUCAAUUGGAGGAUGACAACAUCGACCGACUUCAAAACAAAUGACGAAAAUCUACAAGAAGAUAUGAGUUCGUCGAGGAAAUCAAAAGCAAAGCAGUUUUAAAGGAAGCAACCAUCAAACAAAAUAUAUCUGCUCGCCAUAGCAAAAAGUGGUAAAAUGAGAAUUUUAAGUAGGCGACUUCGACUAGACACCCGAUUUUGUUAACACUGACCCAUUACAGAUCUGAUGGACUUCUUCUUCGAAUAGAGUUCGCUUCUCCUGAGCCACUUCAACUCUCUACCUUUUUUGGAGAGGUUCAUCCAUGUCAAUCAACUGACGCUCAGAGGUACCAACCUGAUUUAUGGUUAUGGCCUCCAAGAUCGGGGAACUUCCUUCUGAGCCCGAGCCCAUUAUCAAGUUGGUCUAGUGGUUAAGAUUCUUAUUCUUGGAAGGAGGUGUCUUACUACAUUCCUUCUUGGAGAGUUUCGCGAGCUUUUCUCACAUGUUCGACAAGUUGGUUGCAAAAUGAAAAGAAACGAAGUUAGUGAAAAACUAACGAACACAUAAUGAACAAAAAGAUUAAGUUAUAAAAAAAACAUAUACCUAACAAGGUCCUUGCCUAUUCGGCUGUGGAACACCUCACAAGUUUGAGAGUAUACAUGUAAGGAGGUUACGUAAGAGGAACACCCUCAGAAUCAUAGAAUGUCUCUUUCUUAUUGUCCAUAAGCGUAUAUGGAGACAGACUAAACGCAUACAUCCAAAGCUUGUCAUAGUCUUCGGUCUCUCUAGCAUUGAACUGCCUGUAACUAUAGGUAAACCCCUUAGUACGACCAUUGAAAUGGUCCCCCGACUAGUAAAUAGGGAACUAUGGGAUCUCCUUAGUGCAAACAUUCAGUUGGACUGAGCAUGAUGGCUCCUUCACAUUGUCCAAAGCCCUCAUGUUAUUGGGCGGAUGGCGAAAUACUUGUCUUUGAAGCCCCUAAUAAAGUUGGUAAAAAUAUUAAAGAACUGGGUGUUUUGCUUAAGAGACACCCAAAUUUUACCACCGUCAUGAUCCAUCCCUCGUUGGAGAUUUAAGACCAAAAAGAAGAAAGCAAUAUUCAGGUUGAGAUUCAGGUUCCCUCACAUCAUCUCGAAGGCCAUGAUGAAGGCCAUUAAAUUUGGGUGGAAGUGUGAGGGAGCAAGUUUCAGCCACUUGAAAACUUCCUUCUGAAAAUCCAAAAAUGGCACUCUAAAGCCUAUGUCCUUAAAGAUGACGUCAUACAUUGGAAUGUUCUCUUCGUAUAGAGAACAUAUCUUGGGUUUAACGAAAGGGAUCCUAACCUCCCAAUCAACAUUCCUUGCAGGAUCUAUGUCCAUGAAGGGAUGGUCCUCUGUAUCUGAAUCAACGUAGGUUGAAGGAGUAUUCAACAAUUCGUCUACUAUCCACAAUGUACUAACCUCUCCGACACAAAUAUGGGGCUAUCUCCUCCUUGCCAUAUCAAAACCUAAACGUGAAAGAAGAAAAAAUGAAUUCCACAUUCAAAUCAAAUCCAUUUUCUAUCACGGACCAGGUCGACAAGUCAAGAAAUAAUCCAAAAUAUUCCUCACGAAUGACAAAGAAGCAGUGGUACCUUUCUACAAAGAAAGAUUACGACAUCAGAAACAAACCCCUUUAUGCAGAAAAUCAAACAAUGAUAUGACGACUACCACCUCUUACGACAACGCUUGGUUUGAUUGUAAAUCAUAAAUCACCAUCUAACACCCACGUUAAAGUAAACUACGGUGAAAGCCUAACAAGAAUCAAAGACUAUGUUAAUUUACUGGGAAGUAGAAACAACCACUAGCAGAAGUGGUCGCUACACCAUCACCACCCGCAAACCUAACAAAAGCCUAAAUAUUUCUAAAAUGAAGGCAAAAAGACAAUAAACAAGCAUAACAUUCAAAAAGUAUAGAAGAAGAAAAAACUGUUAAAAUGAACUUUAUGAAAGCAUGGAAAAAUUGAUGUUGUUGAGAAAAGGAAACAACAAAGGUUUGAAGAGAGAGUAAAAGUGUUGUGGAAGACCCUCCAAAAUCUUUUAUACCUCUCCAUAAAAGUGUUCGAAAACUCAAUUUAUUUUUUCUAUACAACAUUUCACACAUAGACUCCGCGCUUCCCAAAGAGAGAAACGAUCAAGAUUAAAGCUAUGACCAAUCCAACAGUCUGAACAGCCGAUCCAACAUAUAACUAAACAUUGAGAUCAGUCUAACGAUUAGGUGUCUCCUCGAAAACCAAUGCUAAAAUCCACUCAAAGGCCUUUGUAAUCAAGUACAGUUUCUAGCAUUUACAUGUGGCAGUCAGUAACAUAGGGUCAUAACCCCCCUCCUCGAAGGAACUUACAUUAAAUAUUAGAUGUGACUAAUAACUAGGGGUCAUAUCUCCUCCUCGAAGGAACGUACAUUCAAUAUUAGACGUGAGGAUAAAAUCCCCACGAUUAGAAGUUCCACACGAACUUGAUAUUCCUUGUAAGCAUAAUGCCUACUUUAACUUAAAAGUUCCACACAAACUGAAUGCUCCUCACGAGUAUGAUACUUUAUUAUAAAAGUUCUAGAAAAACAAAAUGCUUCUCGUGAGAACAAUGCUCUUUCUUAAAAGUUCAUUGGGAACUAUAAACUCUGUCUGAUCAUAAUGACAACUAAAAAACUCUUUGCGAGCACAAACAUCUUUUGUUGACUCAAAGUUCCUUGCAAACUGAAAGCUUCUUGUGAGCUCAACGCUUCCUAACAAACUUAAAUUUCUUUGUGAGCUAAAAACUCCUGGCAAGGUUGUGCCUACUUUACCAAAAGCUCCUUACGAGUGUAAUCCUAGCCCCCAUACGAAACAUCAAACUGCUCGAAGUAAUCAGUCUUCACUCUAGGAAUGAUGACUUGUGGGGGAACUGUUCUAAAGUGCUCAAAGGCCUACACUCUAAGUCCAUGGCUCAUAAAUCCAUAAUGCUUGAAGGUUACAGAUCCUGUCAUCCAUAAUCUUCUAGCAACGACUCUCAGUCAUAAACAACUUGAAACCUACACCUCGACUAUAUAAGGAGACAUAAACCGUCUCCUAAGGGACGAUCUAUUCUAUCUUUAACACCCUCUAUUGCUUAAAACACUAACUUGAGCAUCAGGGUUUCUGUUAGUACACCCUCUUUCGUCGUCCCAACAUUCAACUAGAAGAAAGCUCACCACACCAUACGCUAUUAUGCUGACCAGGUCAUAUCAAAAUAUUGAUAAAUUUAAUAUGCAUCUUUUAUUGAGUGAGUGUGAUAAUAUUUUUUUAUGAGUUUCGUUUGAGUGCAAACAAAGUUUUAAGUUGAGGAGUUGGUAAGUACCAAAUUCAUGUUAUUUUACAUAUAUAUUCAUGACAGUAAUCAAGGAUGAAUCAAUUAAGAUACCCCUGCGAUGUAGGACUAGUACGAUGGAGAAGAUGUUCCGACGAGUUUUACGUUGACGGUUAUGGUGAGGGACGAUGAUACCUGCAUAAUAGACACAUGCUCCACCGCUCAAGUUAGUAUUUGCGAGAGAGAGAGAGAGAGAGAGAGAGAGAGAGAGAGAGAGAGAGAGAGAGGA